GGGGGGGGGGGGGUGAACACGCUUCCGUAAUUCCUCAUCCCCCACGGAUGCACUCAGACCUGAUACUUACCACGCACCGCCCACCUCUUCUUCCGCAAACCUGAUUUAAUCCUCACCUCCCGUCAGUUGCUAGUCGCUACUUGUCCUACUUGAGCUUACUCUCCCAACACAGUCUCCGCUCAGCCAGCCAACCGGGUGUCCUGCCCUGCGUCAAAACUCCUCCAUGGCGUCCGGAGCCGCUGUCCUGCCCGCAUCCGCCCCUCGCGCCGCCGCCACCGCCGCCUCUGUCCCUGCCCCCUCCCCUGCUGCAACACCAGCUUCAGCACCCGCCGCCCCCGCCUCCGCUGUCCCCGCCUCUGCAGGUCGUGCCGCGCUCUCCGCGCUGUCCCCCUCUCCCGCCUCCACCAGCGCUCGCGCCAUGCCGCCCAGAGCCGCAUCUGCCGCCGCCACCUGCUGCCGCAGCCGGCCCAGCGCCGCCCGCAUGUUGGACAGCUGCAGGCCCAAGGUGGCUUCCAGGGUGGCACGUGCCUGCAAGCGCAUGUGAGCGCGGGAGGGUGGGAGGAAGGGGGAAUAGGAGGAGAGGUUUGGCGGGGAGGGGUUGGUCCAGUGGAACGGAGGCACGAUCACCGGACCACACGACCACGGCGCAUGUUGAGUCAAGUUCUGCAGCGGAUGCCGCUGGAAGCUACGUGGGCGCGCCGUGCCAUGAAUCUCUGUUUGUAGGGUGCUUGUGUGCGCCCCCGCCCACAUCGUCGUCCUCGAUCACAAUCCGCUUCCCGCCCCGCUGCGCCCCGCUGCAGCCACUCAACAACACACCGGCCCAAAAGCCCCUCCCAGUACUCCAGCUCCACCAUCCCACACCUACUCCAUCCUGCACCUUCCAAACCCGCCCCCGCCCCACGCCCCCGCCCCUACCUCUNNNNNNNNNNNNNNNNNNNNNNNNNNNNNNNNNNNNNNNNNNNNNNNNNNNNNNNNNNNNNNNNNNNNNNNNNNNNNNNNNNNNNNNNNNNNNNNNNNNNCCCUCCCUCCCUCCCUCCCUCCCUCCCUCCCUCCCUCCCUCCCUCCCUCCCUCCCUCCCUCCCUCCCUCCCUCCCUCCCUCCCUCCCUCCCCGCUUCCCACCUGGUACGGCCUUAGCAUGUUGGUGAGCUGCACCAGGUUGGCGAACAGCAGGUUCACGUGCGUCAGCUGGGAGGCAUAGCUGGUGGGGGCCAGGGAGUGUUUAGGGGGGGGAGGGAGAGUGUGUGUACGUGUGAAGGAUGGACGGGGCCGCGGGGGGAGGGUGGACGGGGAGACUAGGGCUAGAAGCGGGCUUGGGGCAUGGGCACCUGUAUGGGGCAGCCAACCUUGCCCACCAUGCUGCCAUACCGCCUGUGAUGUCAGGCACAAACUCCCCACCCUGUGUGUAGCACUGCAUCUUCGUCUCCAUCCCAUACCCUCCCCCCUCAUUUGGUAACGACUUCAUCUGCAGUCUUCCGUGCAUCCUGUACCGCUUUCCUAAACAUCCUUGCAACACCCCCAACCUCCUUCAUCUCUUCCUCUUCCUUACCCGCCCCUCGCCCUCCCAACUUCUCCUCCUGCCCCGCCUCCUCCCCACCUGCCGGGCUGCUCCGCCACUGCUUUGGUCAGCUCAAGCAGCAUGAAGGCCAGCUCGCGGCUGAGCCGCCGCAGCUCAGACUUGAAGUCUGCAGGCGGAAGAGGAAUUUGGAAUGCUCGAGCCAACUGAAUCAAGUCCCAAUAGAGGGAGGGAGGCAGGGGCGGGGGCGGGGGCGAGGAGGGGAGACGUGGGGGGGAGACGGGCUCUCAGCAAGCACCUGUGGCCCAGGAGCCCUCAGCCCGCCCUCUUGCUAACCGCCCAAUCCAGGCACUCGCCGGAUGCCGGCUGCCCUCUUGUCUCGACACAGCAAACGCCCAUACAGGCGCUCAGACAGCCAUGCAGGCGCAUUGCAACACCCCGCCUCGCUCGGUCACUUUGUCGAUGCCUCCUUCCCCCUGCCUAAGCACCUCACCAUCCCCCACCCCCCACCCACCCCCCACACACAAUACAAUACAGUACCGCACCCAAGCCACCUUAUCUUUACCGACUGCACCUCAAGUUGCUGCACCGCAAUCCAAACACACGUUCCGUCUACGUGCUGUCGCAGUCCCCUGCGCCCUCCGACGCGCGUACCUAUGUGUCCGUCCGGACCCGCCGGCCGGUACAGCGCCGCGGUGGUGAGCGGCGGCACCAGCUCCUCGUGCUGCGUGCAGGCGUGCGGUGCAGCAGGUUCCAAAAUGACUCAAAACAUCUUUGUGCGGCGCUAGUUCUGAGACAUGCGUGCGCGCGAGGUAGUGUAGUCGUGAGCAGCCGCGUCGUGUUGAUGAUGGACUGGCGGUGCCGGAGAGAUUUUCGCUGGUGUGUGGCCAAGGAGCCAACCGCUCCCACCCGCCCGCCCUGCGUCUUUCACUCGGCCGCAUCACUCACCAGCUUCAGGGGAUUGCCCAGCACCUUGAGCUCCACCUUGCGCUCCCGCAGCGCCGACACGUCCGCGGGCGUGGGGAUGGGCGGGGGCCCGGGCGGCAGCGGCGACACGCCGUCAUCCGGGCGGUACAGGUUGAACAGCGAGGGCGGCGGCGGGUAGGCCUCGCGCAUGGUGGCACCGUUGGUGGCCGCCGCGGCCAUGGCGAUUACUGGCAGCGGCGGCGAGGAGAUGGGGUUUGUGAGCCCUGUGUGCAGCAGGAGGGCCGACCGGCGAGCUCGGGGAGGCGGGGCGCCGGGUCGUUGCCUCCCUUGAGUACCUAGCGGGAACUAUGGAUUGAGUGGUAUGAUGUUGUAUAAGGAGAAGCCGGAUCGCCACUUAGCUAGGGCCUGGGCCAGUGCGCAAAUCGAACUUUAGCCUCAGCGAGCAAGGGUGCAGGUUACGUGAGUGAUUGAGAUUAUACAAAUGCAGCUUAUUAUACGAGCGACCAGGAGCUAUGCGCGAAUAGGUACCGUUGCAUCGGUUCCAGGUUAUCAUGGCAGGGCAGAACCCUUGCCUUUCCGUAUCCUCGCGAUACAAACAGCGUUGCUUGCACCUCACAGCUACAAUCUUGUUUACAGGAUUAACGAAUGCCUGGCAAAAAACGAAUUCGCAAGCCGAAGCAUCGGCAGUCGCUUCAUGAACAAAUAGAGGACCCAGAGACAUAUGGCGUUCGGGUACGUUGCUUGCAGCCCUCGCAAAUGAGUUUUAUUUGGGCAUGCGGCUCCUCGCCGGCGGCGGCAGAGCUCUACGCGACGUAUAUUUCGCACCUGAGCGGUGUUAUUAUAUAAUAUUGUACGUGCAGACAAAACCACGCGCGGAGAAGAAGCGCCGGCGAGCCGAUGAGGAUGAAGGAGAAGAGGUAGGGUCGGGGUGUCAGCGGGGGCGUCGCCGCGCUUUGCGUACCUGCGCUGACUCGCGCGUGGGCUGUUGACCGCGGUGUGAGCUUCUGCGCGUGAGGCUGAAACCGCCAGCACGCUUCGGCGGGGGCGGGGGCGCACCGAACAGCAACACCCUUGCCCGCCUCCGUCGCCGCGUCACACGCGCGCCGCCCCGCCGGCCCUCUGGCACCCCUCCAUGCCGUGCCUGCUCUCACACGCCCCCCCCCUGCACACGCGACCCGCCUCCUGUCCCUCCCCUGCAGCUGCUGGACGUGAAGCUGAGUGGCCGCAUCCUCAAGGCCGCGCGCGAGCAGCAGCAGGAGCUGGACGCCGAGGAGCUGUUCGACCUGGACCACGAGGGAGACGAGGAGGACGAGGAGGAGGCGGCGGCGGGCGAAGGGCAGGCGGCGGCGGGGGGCGGCAAGAAGCGGAUGGACGCGCAGGUGGGGCGGCGGGCGCGACGGGGGGGGGGGGCUGGGGAUGCUGGGGAUGCCGGACAUGCCCUUGCGCGGCCGCGGCGUCUGGAGUACAGGUCACUGCCCCGGUGCGGCUGGCGCACCGGCGGCAUCGCCGCUGCACUCACGGCCACCGCCACCGCUACGCAGCGCCUUUGAGCUGCCCGCCCCCCCCCCCCCGCACCCCACAGGCUGCGCUGCGCGCCGCCAUGCAGCGGCUGGGCGAGAAGGGGCGCGGCGGGUCGGGUCCGGCGGGCGGGCGGGACGACUCGGACGACGAGGCGGACAGCGAGGAGGGCGGCGCGGGGCUGGACGGCGACUACGAGCUGGAGGAGGUGGAGGUGAGGGCGGCAGGGGGGGGCGGCGGGGGGGGGGAGGGCGGCGGGGCCGUUGGUGACACGGCAGGCUUGCAGAGGGGUCCAUGAGUGCACCCGGUGCAAGCCGGUGCGCCUGCAACCCUCUUCAUGCGUCUAUACGGUAUGUAUGAGACUGUGUGUAUGUUACGUGCCGCGGGUGCGGCACUGCUCCCCGCCGUAAUCCGCCCGUGGCCUCCCCCUACCCCCGCCCCGCCCCGGCCCGCCGCCCCCCCUCCCCCCAGAUGGACGCUGACGACGAGCGCGCGCUGGCGGCCUUCAUGGCGCCCGGUGCGGAGGGCCACGUGCAGACCAGCCUGGCCGACCUCAUCAUGGCGCGGCUGAGGGAGCGGCAGGCGGAGCAGGGGCUGGCGCAGCUGCCGGAGGGGUGAGCGCAGGAGGCAGGAGGGAGGGGGGAGGGGGGCGGACUGGGGGUGGGGUUGGGGGAGGGUUGUGAAGUUUAGGCUAUGAGCGCGGGGUAAGAGCAUCGGGAACAAGGAACAGCGGGCAAUGCAGCAGGCGGAAGUGAGUCGUGUGUAUACCGAUGAGCGGAGAAAGCCGGGUUGUGUUCGCGGCGUCGCCGUUGACGUGUUGGUUACAAACUUGCUACUAGAUCUUUUAUAAGCGCUUGUGGGCGCGUAUGAAAGCUGCUAAGGAGGGUGCGAGGGGGGUGGGACGGGGAGGCGAUGGAUUGGGCAAGGGCGGUGGUUUAGGGUUGGGUGCGUUGUAGGAGAGCGGGGCCGAGGCAAGGGGAGGGCAGCAGUGUGCCGGCACAAGGAGGUGGGGGGUUGGCGGCGAGGUGAGGGAGGGGAGGCGAGCCGAGAGGGUGUAGCCGUUUAUGGAGAACGGCGUAGUUUAAUUACAAGCUUGAAGUGGCGGGGGGUUGGAUGCCUUAGCUUGCGGAGGUCUGUGGUACUCGUGUGGUGGUGGCAGUGGUUGUGGCCUGGGCGAGGCACAGCACCGGACAGUGUGGAGGGUGGGGGCGGGCGGCAGGCGGCGGUGGGCAGUUGGGUUGGUGGAAAGCGGCCGAGAGGCCGGGGGGGCAUAGACCCUGCACACAGGAGGGAGCGGGGCUGGAGCCAGCAGGGUGCGGGUUGCAGGGGCCUGCCGCCCUGCAGCACGCGGCACCGGGUGUUCCACUACGCACCGGGCCACACCUGCGGAACCCACGAACCCACGAACGCUCUCACACGCACGCAUGCCGCUCACGAAUACGCUCACGCCCGCACCCCCCAACUCUCACCCGCAGCGAGGACGACGAGGAGGCGGGUCCGGGCCCCGUGCCUGACGGCCUGGAGCCGCGCGUGAUUGAGGUGUACCGGGGCGUGGGCAAGCUGCUCAGCCGCUACAGCACCGGCAAGAUACCCAAGGUGCGGGCGGGACGGGCGGGACACGCGGGAAGGGCGGUGGGGCAGAUGGGGGGAGGCGGCUAGAGGCCGCGCUAGUAUGCCUUUGACUGCGGUGCCUAGGGUGCCGGCUGGGCUGCCUGGCCCGAUGUGCUGGGUGCGCUCAGUGGGGCCUGGCGUGCACCGCUGGGCCGCGUGUGGCCGCUGCACCCCCUUCACUGUGUGUCGUGUGCCGUGUGUGCUGGAGCCCACAGGCCUUCAAGAUCAUCCCCAACCUGCGCAACUGGGAGGACGUGCUCUACCUCACUGAACCAGGUGCGGGCGUGUGUGCGUGCGUAUGCGGUUGUGAAGUAGGCGGGCCGACACAUGGGACACACGUGGGAGCGCGGGCGCGUCGGGCGGCGGCUGUGGCGCCCACAUGCCUAGGUUCCGUCACAUGGCGUCACUGGCGUCACCGGGUCGUGCCUGGAACCCCUCAUCCUCCCCCAAACCCUCAACCCACUCCCGCCUUCCCCACCAUUCUCCAUGGACGGCGAACCCCUCCUUCCCUCCCCUCCCUCCCAGAGUCCUGGUCCGUGCACGCCGUGUACCAGGCCACGCGGCUGUUCGUGUCCAACCUGAACGCGCGCCUGGCGCAGCGCUUCCUGGCGCUGGUGCUGCUGCCGCGCGUGCGCUACGAGAUCCGCAGCACCAAGAAGCUGCACUUUGCGCUGUUCCAGGCGCUGCGCAAGGCCACCUACAAGCCCGGGGCCUUCUACAAGGUGCGUGUCGGUGUGUGCUGUUGGCAUCAGAAUUGUGGGUCUCCCAUGUGUUAUUGUUGCGGGGCUGUCAUCAACAGCCCUGCCAACCCCCUUGCCCCCGCGCCUCGCCCCAAUCCGCAACCCCACCCCGCACUCCUGCCCGCUGCGCGCAGGGCCUGCUGCUGCCGCUGUGCCAGUCUCGCACGUGCAGUGUGCGCGAGGCGGUCAUCUUCAGCUCGGUGCUGAAGAAGGCGUCGCUGCCGGUGCUGCACAGCGCUGCGGCGCUGCUGCGCCUGGCCACGCUCGAGUACUGCGGCACCACCUCGUUCUUCAUGACCGUGCUGCUCAACAAGAAGUACGCACUGCCCUACCGCGUCAUCGACUCGCUGGUGAGGGGGAAAAGAGGGAGAGGGAGGUGCUCGGGAGGGUUGUGGGAGGCCAGGAGGGAGAGUAUGGUGGGAGGUUGUUUGCCACUGCCAAGCUGGGCACACGCGUAUGGCGGCACUCUCCUCGCUCGUUGCGUCGGGUUUGGUUUAGUUUGGGCUGGUUUCUACAACCCCACCUCACCUCGCCUCGUGUCGCUGCGACUGUCCAUGCCUCAUGCCCUAAUCAAUUGCGCAUCGCCCAACCUCUGCUGGCACUCAGCCCACUCCGCCCGCCCGCCCCGGCAGGUGGACCACUUUGUUCGCUUCGCGGACGACGAGCGGCAGUGCCCCGUGGUGUGGCACCAGGCGCUGCUCACGUUCGUGCAGCGCUACAAACACGAGAUCCGGCCCGUGGACCUGCGCUCACUGCGCGCGCUGUGCGCCAAGCAGAACCACUACAAGGUGGGGUGUCGGUGUGGGCGUGGGCCGUGGGGUCCGGGCAUUAUUAUUAACUUCACGGGUGGGCGCAUGUAUGCAUGUUGACGCGCGCACACGUAUAUGCACAUGCACACGCGCACACCAAGCCGGCUGAUGACCAAACGUUUAGAUGACGAAUCUGAGCGGGACAGCCGUUGAAAGCGCCGCACACAGUGACGACAAAACGAGGCAUUUGUCUGACGGCAAUCAUAUAUCGCGAACAUACACACGCACACACACUCCCCUAACUUCGCAACCCCGCCCUGCACACUCCACGCCUCACAUCCACGGCGCUUCAUACCUUGCUGCCAUACACGGGGUCCGUGACCUCACCCACGCACCUGAUCUUCACCCCUUCGCGACCCUCACCACCUCACCUCACCUCACCUCACCUCCACUGCACCUCACCUCCACCGCACCUCGCUGCAGAUGACGCCCGAGGUGCUGCGCGAGCUGGACCACGCGCUGGGCCGCGGCAACAGCGUGGCGGCGGGCGCGGCGGGCGGCGCGGCGCCCAUGGCCCUGGGCGGCGGCCCCGGCGGCGUGGCGCAGGCGGCGGACGGCCCCGGCGCGGCGGCGGCGGCGGCGGCGGCUGCGCAGCUGGCGGGCGCCAAGGGGCGUGUGGGCAGCAAGGUGGUUGAGAACGUGCGCGACAUGCCGCCGGUGCUCAUGAUGGAGGACUGAGAGGGGGCUGAGGGCCUGUGAGGGCUUGUGAGGGCUGUGUGGCGGGACUGCUGGUGGUGGCGGGGUCUCCGACCCGUGUGAUAAGGUGUGGGGGCACCUGGAGGGGAGUGCGGCAGGGGUGGUGGGCGGGAUGUGACCAGGGGGUGACCGACUUGGCAGGUGGCAGGACGACAGGUUUGACCAGGCAGACACUGAAGGGAUCCAUAGCGCAGAAUUGACAGGAUGAUUGCUAAACACUUAAAGAAGCAUGGCUAGGGUGCGACGCAAGACCGGACAGCAUGCUUCUGCGAGAGACAGAGGCAGCGCAUGCCGCACAUGGGUUUUUGUCAGUGGUGAUGGGGUCGAUUGCAUUGUGGCGGCAGCUAUAGCCUGCGCGGUGUAACAUGAGUGUUGCGGUGGGCCGUUGGCGGUGUGCCGGCCUUCACCACUUCAUGCGGGUGGCCGGUGGGCUGGCGGUUUCGUGUACCUGGGCUGCCAGGCGCCAGCUGUAAUUAUGUGGGACCGGAUUCGAUGGAUGUGUUAUUGCAGUAAAUAGGCACAAGGAUGUGGUUCAACGCUCUGGAGCCAAUAGCGAUGGGCAAAGACGAGGGAAUCGGCUGGCCGUGCCUGCGGCACGAACUGGCACAUGCGCACCCCGUAUACACACCUGGUACACCUGCCCCUCCAGGGCGCCGCGCACACACCACAUACGGCUUACAGCCGCGCAGGCGGCACAGCUGAGCUCAGGCCGCCCCUCCAGCCCCGCCUGAACGGCCCGCCGUGGCGCCGCACGGCCGCCGCACCGCCCCCACCAGGCCACCAACGACCGCUGUGCCCUGCUGCCCUCGCAUGCCGCUGCGCCAAGCCGCCGGGGUGUACCUGGGCUACAUGCUGCCUGUAAUGCCUGUCAUGCCUGUCAGUGUCACCCUCCUGCCCACUCCGCCUGGUCCAUCAAACGCGUGCAGCAGCGGGACUGCCCAGGGCACGACCAGCACCAAUCAGGGGAAUGCGCUUCCGUGUGCCCUCUCGCCUCCAGCAUACCGGCACUUACUACGUAGCGCUCCCUUGUGCCCUCUCGCAUUCCACUUAAGACGUACGACAAGAAAAGGUGGGCUGAGCCUAAUAAAGACGUACUAAACUGAGACUAAUAAAGACGUCCUGAAAGUGCGUAAUGGAGAAGGCCCUUCUCCUGCAUACCUGCAAAACGUUCCCACCAACGGGCAGGAAGUGCCCUGGCCGUCAGCGGGCAUCACUCCAACCACCGUCCGGUUGAGUCCGCGACACACGCACGUGCGCCUUUCACCACCGUGUACUCCGCCACGAAGCCAACCCAAGAUGCAUGCACACGCGCCCCACUGCACUCCAAUUGCACAGCACCUUUUACACACCAGCGCACCUGCACUGCCUCACGCGCCAUCCACUGCUUGUUUACCUGAUGCACGAGGAUAUUGUCAACCAGAUCACACCACAUGCAAAGAAUAGACUGGCCUUGACAGUCCUACUUUAUCGUACACCAUGUUCCACUGGCUUUUGCGCACGCUCGACCUCCCUGACGGGCACUUCCCACCCUGCGGCGGACCCGCAAACCUGCAGCCAGUGGUCUGUCCAAGCCCGCGCCCACAUAGCCCCCAGCCACAUGAACCCUCAUGCCGGCGUCAUCACGAGCCGACACCUGCGCCGCCCAGCUCUGUGGGGCUUGCCCGCGCCCCCGCCUUGGCCUGCUUCAUCGGGGCGCCCGGUGCCUCCGGCUGCCCCCGCGAUGGCCGCUUCCUGCCGGCCGCCGCCGCUGCCGCCGCCUUCUGGGGCGUUGUGCUGCCGACGACGUGGCCGCCCGCCGCCGCCACCAGGAGCUGACCCUCCACAAGCGCGGGGUCGGAGGUCGCCUGCUGCUGCUGCUGCUGCUGUUGCCGCUGCCCCUCCGCCUGCUUGCCCUUGCCCCGUCCCCGGCUGCCGCCGCUGCCACUAGCAGGUGACUUCCGGGCCGACGGCGGCGGCGGCGUGUCCAGGCCCCCGCCCCCGCCAUCUGCAGCUGAGGAGCGCCGCUUGCGACCCGCGCUCCCGCUGCCGCCACCGCCGCCAGCACCGCUGCCUCCCCCUCCGCCUCCUCGCCGCCCCAUGCUGCCAGGCGGCGUGUACUCCUCAUCCGCCUCGCCACCCCGCGCCUCGCCACCCCCCUGCCCCUCCCCGUCCUCAUCAUCCUCGUCAUCGGAGGACAGCGCCUCACUGGCCUCCUUGUCGUCGUCAUCAUCAUCCAGCCCCGCUGCCGCGCGCUGCUUGCGGCCUCCUCCCCCUCCUGCGCCUCCUCCGCUGCCGCCGGCGCCUCCCGCCCGCAGGUGCUGGGGCAGGCGGUGCUGCUGCGCGGCCAGCUCGCUGAUGAACAGCGUGUUGUGCGCCCUGUGUGUGGGGGGGUGCGGGGGGGUGGAGCGGGUGGGUGACCGCGAGCCACAGGCACACAGGCAGCCCAAACGCACCCUGCCAUCAACCCGCAACCCCACCUGCACACGUACCCGCACCCGCACCCGCCGUGCAAACUCCAUCCCCGCAGCUGCGAGUGUUGAAAACAACAGCCCCGCCACCGGCCCUGGUGUCGUCCUGCUCACCAGCCCGCGUACUCGCCGAAGCGCUCCGUGAACGCCGCCGCCACCUGGCCGUGCAGCGCCUUGGUGAGCGCCUUGCCGCGCAGCGCCGGCCGGUAGUAGCGCACCUGGGGGGGGGGCGGGGGGUGGCGCAUGGGGGGGGGGGGGGCAGACGUGCAAGCGUGAGCGAAUGAGAGAGCGAGGGCGCGACUGAACGAGGAGGAUGCGUACGGUGGUGGUGGUGGUGGGGCGCGGGUGCACCAGGCCACACACCCAGCUUCCUUGCAUGCCCCGCCCCGCCGCCCCGCUGCCCUCACCGCGAUCUGCCACACGUGUGUGUCCACGGGUAUGGCCGCGGCCUUGUCCAGACUGAACAGCGCGACGCAGGCAGCCACCUUGGGGCCCACGCCUGGAGGUGGCGGGAAGAGGCAGGAGGGGAGGAAGAGAAGCAGGAGGCAGGGUAAGAGAAGCAGGAGAGGGUAAGAGCAGGGGCAGGAGGUGCGGGUCGCGGUGGGCAGGUGGGCAGGAGGGCCCGAUGGUGGCGGGUGGCAACACUGGGCGGGUGGCGCACUUCCGCCCGCAUGCGACCGCUAGCGGCAACAGGCGGGGGGGGGGGGAGGUGCCCGUGGGAGGUGCCGCAAGCGGAGGCAAGGAGCUCGUCAUCAACAGUGCACCCGUUCGUCCAAGAUCACAAGGAGAAACAAGCGCAAAGACUGUGUAUGCCGUAUGCGAUGCAGGAACGCAACGCGUGUGUAUGUAUGUGUAUAUGUGUGUGCGUUGAGGGGGGCGGGGCCGCCUGCCGCGCCCUGCCUUCCCCUCCAGGCCGCCCCGCCACCCACCCGGCAGCUCCUCCAGCGCCGCCACCGCCUCCUGCAGCCCCACCCGCCGCAGCCCCAGCAGCCACUGCCGCCCGCCUCCGGGCUUCUGCCGCAGCGCCGCCACACUGCCCACCACGAACUUGGCGCGGUAGCUGCAGGCAGCAACAGGCAGCAGCAGCAGGGGCAGGGGCAGGAGCAGCAGCAGGCGGAUGUGGCAGCAGGCCGUAGUGGGCAGUCGUCAGUCAGGCGGGACACAGCUGAGAGGGCAGGAGGGACGCAGCCGCAGCCGGCGGCUCGUGGGCUGUGUGCAGCGCGCACGUGCUGCCGGCGCGCUGCAGCGCCCUGCUGGCUGCUGGGCAUCGCCUCCGCUCUUGCCUCCCGUCACGCUCACCUCCACCUUCACAGAGAUUUGCUCCAUGCUUCAGCCCUGCCCUGACCCCCUUGACUGUUGGGACCUAUUUGGCUGGGCCCGAGCACAUAACCCCCUAACCCCCUUCCCCCUGCGACCCGCAUGGAUACCCGCCCGCCCGCACUACUGCCCCCGCGCGCGCACCCGAAGCCCGCCGCCCGCAGCUCCUCCUCCGUGGCCGCCGCCAGCUGCUCCAGGCUGGGGAAGGCGUAGUAGGACAGCACGGGAGCAGCAGCAGCCGCGUCUGAGCCUGCCGCCUUGCCGCCGGCCACAGCGCUGGCCCGGCGCUUAAAGCCCUUCUGACCCGCCUUGCCCCCCGGCGUUUCUGGCUUGAUGUCAGGCUCAGCGGCAGCGCUUGCCGCUGCCUGCAGCGGCCCCGUCCCUGCCUGCAGCUGUUCUACUGGCUCCGACUUGAUCUGCUGCUGCUCCUGCUGCUCCUGCUGCUGUUGAGGCAAUGCCGGUGGCGGCAAGGGCUCCGCGGGAGUGAGCGGCGUGCCGUACGCGGAACACAGGCGCUCCACCAUGCCGUGUAUGCGGCUGAUGUGGUUGUUGGAGGAGCAAAUGAACUGGAACAGGCACUCGUGCGGGUCCUGGCGCAGCAUGCGGGCGCCCGGGAAGUAGGGGCUCACCGCCGCGAAACGCCCACAUGCCGCCGACCAGUCACGGGUCAGCUGCGCCAGACUCACGCCCUGCUGCUGCUGCUCCUGGUCCUGGUCCUGCGCCGCCGGCUCACCACAGCCUGGCCGCGGCCCCGGCGGCGGCGGCAGGUAGAAGUAGUCGCGGACCGCCGCCUCGUCGCCCUCUUCCGCUGCCUCCGGCCCCGACCCCCGCGCCAGCACGCGGAACACCACGUCUGCCGGCAGCUGCCUCAGCGCCACCAGCCGAGGCCCGAUCACGCCCGUGUACUCGCUCGGCGCCGUGGCCCGCCAGCGGAAGGACUGCCCCGUGGGCAGGCAGAAGUCCAGCUGCAGCUCCGAGGGUGGCGUGCCCAGGGAGCGCCAGCCGGCAGGGGCGGCAGCGCCGGCGGCGGCGGGUGGCGCUGCUGGCGCUGAGCCCGCCGUGGGCGGGUCCGCCAUCGGCGCUGUGGCGGAAGCGGCCGUGAGUGGAGACUCUUGAGAGUUCCAGGCCCUCCUGAUUCCAAUGAAGCAGGUUCGUGCGGUGAGGUUAGAGGCGUGUAGGAUGCGCGGGCAACAAAGUUGGGAGCGCUGCGGCAAGUGGCCCGACGACGUAACAAUUUGGCGGGCUCUUGCACCAAGAGGGCGGCAACAGACGUGGUGCAUGCGAACGGCACUGUUGAUGGCGACAAUGAGCGUGAAUUGCGUUACCUUGCGGGAGCUUUGCCCGCAACUCGGCAUGCAUGGGAAUUGACCAACUUGCGCGAUUCGUUACUGCUGCUGGGUUUACCUCGCGCCUGCUCUGAUGUAGUACACCAUAUAAUAACCAAGACGUUACAUCUACAGCCGACGUUAGGUCGCUUUGUGUUUGACGGGAGCCGCGCUGUCACGAUGAACUGAACCUUUGAAGCGCCCCAGGAGUCAUGAGCACAUUCGCUGCGAAGCUAAAGGGCGCGGGCAUUGUGCCACAGACGGCGGCAGCCCAGGGCGCCAAGCAGCGUGCGCCCAAUGCCCCGGCGCAAGCUGCCAAGCCGGCUAAGCAGACUGUUGGUUUCGCGGUCGCCAACAGCACGGAUCGCUUGGGCUUCAUUGGCAAUGUCCUGAUUGGCUACAGAGUGGAGGUUCAGGUGAGCUGCGGGCGCGGGCCAAUCUGACGCGACUCUGCGCGAAGGCCCGCUCCAUUAUGCAUUCUGUCGACGCAUAUGUGGCAAGAAGCAUAAAGGCAUGAUACCUGAGGUCCUGGCCCUGCAUUUGUGCAGGUGGCAAGCGGGGUCGUUUACGAGGGCGUCUUUGGUUCGUUGCAAAACGACGGCAGCGGCGUGUCGGUGGUCCUCAAGUUCGCCAAGGUCAUCAAGGACCCAUCGGCGCCCGCGGUGGACAAGACGACCCUGGCAGAGAAGCCGGUGGCAGUCCUGACCAUUCCAGCUGCGGACCUGGUGCAGGUGUAUGCCAAGGACGUGCGACUCAGCGCAGAGGACCUCUCAGGAGCUGACCGCAGCGAUGUGGGCUUCGAGACGGAUGCAGCUAUCUCGCGCGGGCGUGGCGGGUAAGUGGGGGCCGGGGACAGGCGCUGCGGCCUGCGGGUGUUUGGGAUGACUGGCGGGGCACUUUGUUGCCUCGACUGGUCUCCAAGACUCUUGACGAUGGCGAUGGUACCCGCUGCUAGUGUGAGUGUGUAUCCCUUAUCCAUCAACUAGCAGCUCUUCGAGUGGCUCGGGCGGGUCAUGACCCUAACAGCUCGGUUUGGUCCUUCCAAACAGGGGCAUGCGUGAGCUGCAGAAGUGGCAACCUGAUGAGGGCGAUGCGGGUGGCUUCUUCAGCUUGGAGGCUCCAGGGGGCGGCGCUGGCUGGGACCAGUUCGCUGUCAACCGCGAUCGCUUCGGCGUGCAGACCACUUGGAGCGAGCACUUCUACACCACGAAAAUUAACCGUGAUGAGUGCAAAAUUUCUGAGGAGGAGGCGGCCCGCAUCGCACGGGAAAUUGAGACCGGUGUCUCGGGUGCUGCCACUACCAACAUCCAUAUGCUGGAGGAGCGUGGCGGCGAGCUAGGUGCCGACGUAAGUAGCGUGGAUGCAUGACAGCCGUCGGGGCCGGCCAAGGCCAGCCGGAGGGGCAAGGGGGACACAGGCCUUGACCGGUAGCCGCCGUCCGCGGGGUUGAGUGUGCACGCGGUGCGCCCGAGCGCCUCCUACUCCGCGGCGCACAUGGCGGUGUGCAGGCGCUGCACGCGGCUCACUCGCCACACAACCUUUCCCCCUGUGUAAAGCUGCGGCAAGGCUUCUCGUCUUUGUGGUUAUGGACUGCGGUUGGACCACGCUGACGACGGCAGUACUCAUCGCCCGCCUCCUGCCGGACUGCUGGUGUGUAUGUCUGUGUGCCGUACACAGGUGGACGAGGAGGCGCUGUACGGGGCAGUCAUCCGGGACGUACCGCCCGGAGCUGCAGGAGCAGGAGGACCCGGAGGACCCGGCGGCUUCAACGCCUCAUCGCAACAGCCGCCCCGUGGGCCGGGCGGCCAGGGGCCGGGGCGCGGUCCGGGGCGUGGGCCGUCGCAGCAGUCGGCAGCGGACCGGGCUGUGGCCUGGGGGCGCGCCGGCUCAGGUGUGGCGGCGGUGGCGGGCGGGCUGUCCGUGGCGCAUCAGAAGCAGCAGCAGGCGGGCGCAGCAGCAGGUGUGGAGGGAGGCCUAAGGCGGAGCGAUGUGGUGUGUUGUGAUGAGUUAGGGGCGGGCGCGGACCCGUGAGGGUGCUGGCGGACGAAUUCGGUUUAGCUCUUAGGCCCAAGGCGCCAGGCACCCGACUAGCGCCUCUGGCUGUCAGGGGAUGCCCGCACUCCCCGCACGCAACCCACCGUGGCACCUUCCGUUGCCCCUCCCGUUGUGCUGUUGCAGCCGGAGGCCCCAAGCCCAGCGUUGGCGCAAUUCCCGUUCCAGUGCCGGGCGCCGGGUCUGCCCCGGCGGCGGCUGGGGAGGGCGGAAGCGGCAGCGGCGCCAGCAGUGCCGGAGGCACCGCGCCCAUUGACAUUGACCCACGCAAGGAGGUCAACAAGGUCCGCAGCUCGCUUACUGUGGGCUCCAAGAAGGACCGCAGGUGAGCGGGGGCUGGACGGCACUUUGGGGAGGCUGGGCUGGGGGGUGACGCGGGUGGGCUGGACAGGCUGGUGACUUGAUUGGUGUGCCGCAAGCUUGCUGCUAUUGCGGGUGUGUGUCGGGUUGCACACGUUGGGCAGAGGCGCCACCGCGCGGUGCUGCCGCCCCACAUGUACGUCGUCUGUCGGCUCACUCCAUUCCCCUGCACCUCACGGCCGCGCAGCUCCCCCUACGGCACUCCCAAGCUGGGCGGUGUGGGCGGCAUGUCGCGCUCACCGGUGUUCGCCAGCCCGCUGGUGGCUGACCCUGUGUCCUUCUCGGCGCUGGACCUGGACCCGGGGGCGCCGCAGGUGGGGAGGGGGUUGUGGCAGAGGGCGGGCAGCUUCAAAGGAGGGGCGGAGAGGGAAGGGCUGCAGAGGGCAGGGGGAGAGGUAGAGAUGCCCCCUGCAAUGCAAGGGUGUCCACGGGUGGCAGCAGAUGCGCGGCACAGGCGGGGUCAGGGCCCGGGCGAGUCGGCAGGGACAGGUCCCGUGGAGUGGGUAGCACUGGCGUCGAGGCACUGGGAAGGGGCGGGGAGGGAAGGGCAGGGGCGGGGCACCCCUGGACGGCCGAAACGCGCGUUGAUCAGCUGGGACGGGUAGCUGGUGCCGUGUAGCUAGGUUGGGUCAGUGCCGAGGGAGCUCAGCGCCGCGCUAUACCCACACGCCGCCAUGCCGCCUCCGCCUGCAGGUGAAGCUGGACCCGGAGGCCCAGGCCGAGUUCCUGCGCUUCAAGGAGGAAAUGAACAAGAAGCGCCAGCAGGCAGCAACAGGGUGAGGCGGGAGGGGUGGGGCGGGGCCAUGUGGGGCUGGGCAGGAAGCAGUACAGGGCACCAGUUGUUGGGCGGGUUUGUCCAGGUAAUCCAUCAUUGCUCAUGAGGCAUCACAUGAGCAGUCGGCAGUGCUGUUUCAACCCUCUCGCAUCACCCCCUCCGCGUGGCUUGCGUCUGUGUCGCAGAAGCGAGUCCCUGGCGGAUCUCAAGAAGUCCUCAUCCUCAUUCAAGGACCGCCCAGCAGGAGCCGCAGCGCCCGCAGGAGCAGCGGCGAACGGCAGCGGCGCCGCCACACCGGCAGCGGACGGUGCUGCCACUGCCGCGCCCGCGGCGGCCGGUGCCGCAGACGCGGCCGCCAAGCCUGCUGCCAAUGGCGACACGGCUGCGGCUGACAAGCCCAAGGUGGUGUCGAAGCUGAACCCCAACGCCAAGCCCUUCUCCCUCAACAUCUACGCCAAGGAGUUUGUGCCCAACUUCGGCAAGCCCGCAGCGGCCGCGGCGCCGGCCGCGGCGGCCGCCCCGGCGGCAGGCACGGCAGCGCCUGCUGCAGGAGGCAGCGCGGGUGGGGCCGGCGCGACCGGCGCCGGCGGCAUAAGCAGCACCGCGGUUCUGUCCACGGCGCUGCCCUCGGCCACCAACCCCAAUGCGGCCAACGCGCCGCCGGCGGCCGCGGCCGCGGCGGCUCAGGCGGCCGCCACUGCCAUCUCUGCGGGCGCCGCUGGCCAGGCCAGCUACCUGGCCAGCACCAGCGCCGCCUCGCACGGCAUGGCGGCGUCCUACCACCACAGCAGCGCCGGAGGGCACGGGCCGCAGCAGCACGGGCCGCAGCAUGGCGGCGCCGGCGGCAUGGGCGGUGGCCACGGCGGGCAGGGCCAGUACGGCGGCGGCGGGGGUAUGGGUGGCGGGCAUGGCGGACACCAUGAACAGCGCGGCGGGUACGGCGGCGGCGGCGGGCCCAUGGGCCGGGAAAUGCGCGACGGCGGCCACGGCGGCGGCAUGUACGGCGGCGGCGGGCACCGCGGCGGCGAGAACAUGUACCGGGGUGGCGGCGGCGGCCAGGGCAUGAUGGAGGGUGGCGGUGGCGGCGGCUACCGGGGCGGUGGCGGCGGCGGCGGCCCUGGCGGCGACCCGUUCCGCGGUUCCACCGGCUCGGGCGCGGGCGACGGCUACCACCACCAUCACCACCACCACCACGGGGGCCACAAGGGCGGCCCCGGUGGCGGUGACCAUCACGGCCCCGGCAAGGGCGGCGACGGCGGCCAUGGAGGCCACAUGGGCGGCCCCGGUGGCCCAGUGGGCGGCCCUGGCAGCGGCCUGCACAAGGUGCCGCCGCCGCCGCCCCAGGGCCCUGGCGGCAUGGGCCCGGGCGGCGAGGGCGGUCCCAUGGGCCCGCACGGCCACGGCCACGGCGCCACCAUGGUGGUAAACGGGCACGCGGUGACGCCGGCCACCAUGGGUCCGCACGGCGGCCUGGUGCCCAUGACCCCCGCCGCCAUGGCUGCCGCCGGCAUGCCCGCCGCCAUGGCCGGCAUGCCGUACGGUGUGGUGAUGGCGUCCGGCCCCGGCGGCCCGCACUACAUGGCGCAGAUGCCGCCCGGUGCCACGCACGUGGCCAUGGCCUCCACGCCGCAGGGCGCGGUGCCCAUCAUGGCCUACGCGGUGCGGCCUGCGGGCGGCGGCCCCCCCACCGCCAUGGCCAUGACGCCCACCGGCCACAUGGCCAUGAUGGCGGCCGGACACGCGCCCCCGGGCAUGGCGGGCCACUACGGCGCCGUGGCGGGCCCCUACAUGGCGCAGGUGCAGGUGCCGCCGGGCGCCAUGCCGCCGCCCAGCCCCACUGGCACGGGCCGCUCCGCGGGCGCCUACUUCCAGGCGGCAGGCGGCGGCGGCUACCCGGGGCCCAUGAUGGCGCACCCGGGGCAGGGGCCGCACGGCGGGCCGCACCCCGGCGGCCCCAUGGGUGGCGGCCAGGGGCCACAGGGCGGCGGCCACCACAUGAUGCAGCAGGGCCCCAUGGGCGGCGGCGGACACAUGGGCGGCGACGGCCGCGGUGGCAUGGGCGGGCCAGGCGGACCCAAGGGUGGCCGCGGCGGACACCGCGGGCCGCCACCGCCGCGCAUGGACCACGAGCGGCCCGCACCGCCCGGGCCCCGCGACAUGGAGUGAGCGGCCUGGGCAGCGGCCUGAGCAGCCUGGCAGCGGCGAGGACUCAACAAUAGAGGAGGAGGGGCGGAGGAGCCGGGGAAGAGGGCCCUGCAGGCGCCGCGCCUGGCAGGUGACGACACGGCUUGAGGGGUCGAGUCAGGACAAGGAUGUCCGGUCGUGCGGGCGUGCCGGCGCAGCCGCAGCGUUCACGUGGGUAUGUACGACCCUGUGCGCUGCGGGCCGGAGGGCGCAUGCAAGGGCAGGCGUGUGCAAGCACAAGCGCACGCGCACACGCUACUAGGGCACAAGUUUGGUGGACUGAGGCAGUGCCCAUUGGACCUGUAGCUGGGUAUAGCCGAGGUGUCGGGCUACUGCUACGGGAUCUAGGGGGACCUAGGCGGCAGCUCGCCUGCCCGCACGUCUGAUAGGGCCCCAGCCCCGCAGGCCGGUGUGUGGCUUGCGUGCGGUGCCUCUGCAUCUCUUGCGGGCGACGCCGCCGUGGCUGCACACACCUCCUUACCUUCCAGGCCGAACACGGCGCCAGGAUGCUGCACGCCAUGCGGCGCCGCCGCUUGGUGCCUUGCUUGGUCAUCAUACACAAGCCAUCUAGUUGUCUUAGUGAAAGGGCAAGAUGUUUGUUGCCAAUUAGGCGGAUAAUGACUUGCCGCACACUGCUAUCUAGGAGAUGGGUAAUGUGGUAAUCUGGAAGAGCCCAUUUGAAGGUUGGAGGCGUUUCAUGGUGCUGGUACGCAUAUGAGUCACCGGGUGUGCCCGGGAGGAUUGGAAUUGCUAACGGCGCGUGCUCCGGGGCUGUCGGGGGUAGGAGCAGCGCUGGAGCACCUGCCCCGGUGCACCUUGCAGCUGCAUAUGCAUGGGCUGCGCGCGUGGGCAGGCCGCCGAGGGCGUCGCCCCCUGAGCGGGAUUUCUAGGUUGCCGCGGGUGGCAGGGAAGCGGACGCCAUGCGGAACAGACAGCUGGAACGGCGCCACGCACACACAGUGCAGGUCACUGGGUUUCUGAACGGGUCGCGUCGUGCUUCUUGGAGGCUGGAUUACAGGAGCCGACUUGGGAAUCCGAAGAGCCCGGCAGUUGAGCCAAAGACGGGCCCACAGCAACUUGAGGGUGCUUCUGGGAACGUUUUGACCAUUGCAUCUAGUAUGGUUGAGCGUCAUUGUCUGAGCGAGUCGUUUCACUUGGCUGUACUCAGGGCAAACGGCGCGGGCAGCAGGGGCGCCUGGGGACGAGCUCAGGCAGGACGAAAUGGCGAGUUCGGAACGGACUGACCAUGACGGACAGCGCGACAACCCGCCCUGUAGUCAAGCAGGAGGCCCGCACCGGUGUUGGACUCAGCGACGCGUUGAGGAUUGCAGUCUGCACAGGGCCCGCCCCUGUGACCACAACCGCUCCCCACUCCGUCCUGCCCAUCUCUGUUCCAGCAACCCAUGGAGGCAUGGACAAGCCUGCCAGACCAGUGCGGCGUAACCCCCUGCCAGACCAGUGCGGCGUAACCCCCUGCAUGCGCCGCACCGUCUUCAUGGCUUGUGCCAUACACUCUGCAUCUGGAGGAUUUGCGUAGCUUGCUUACUGGGGCUGCACAUGGUCGUCAUCGCGCGCUGCCUGUCCUUAACAAACAUUACAAAAACGACACGUACAUGCACCGCGGCCUUUUCAGGUUCUCCUGGGGUUAGCGGGGCCCUCGGCCCCUCCCCCCCCCCCGCAGUCCAGGCGCCGCGCCCCACCCGCACAGAGCCGCCACACGGGACCGCCUUCGCCCAAUGCGUUUGCGACCAACUUGGGGUUCGGUCAGAACAGACUUAUCCCGCGCUGUAUUAGCAAGACAAAUACGAUUGAACGAGUGCAAUGACCGUGCGAUACGGAGGCGUUUGGCAACACGGUUUCGAAACCGCACCCUCCAUAGAACCAGCGGACUGUGGCUGUGGCAUUAUUUGCACGUAUUCUGUAAACGUAUAUCCGUCGUUGGCAGUGCGUGGCCGGCACGUCGCACGACGAAACCGUGCCUCAAUCCCAGCCUGAGCCGCGAGCUUGACUGCUUGGCUAGUAAAUACUUGAUUACUACUACAAACCAAACAGAUGGCAAUGAGAUGCAAGUCGCCGCGUCUGGGACUGCCAUUUAACCGCUGAAACCGAGGGCCAGCCUUUAGCCAAAAUCGUGGUUCAUAACAUUUGAACGCCGAACUGAGCUUUAUGACUCUAAUUCAUCAGCUUUGAUCAAUUACCAUCAUAUGACUACUUCAUGCCCAGCAACAGAAGAAAGGAAUGGGCCUACUAUGCUGCUUCCGAGGUAACAGAACAGACGCAAAUGAUGAACGUCACCUACAGCACCACCUGGCAGCAGAGGUGCCAAAAGAAACUGUGCCAGCCUGCGAGGACGAUGCGCAGCUGCGAUCCCAUCCGAAUAAACAUGUUAUUGCAAGAGGCGAAACUUCCUCUGGUCGCGGCGACGUGCGGGUAAGUGUUGAGCCAGGUCACCAAUCGACGGGCCGUCACCGUGUCGCCUAACAACGACCGCCGCUCGCCUGGGCUCCAACGUUCUUCAGGCGGCAGUUUCAAAUGCAUGCACCGGCUUAGGCGCAGUCGACUCCGAUGCUUGGUCUGCACGCGUCCGAGCGAGCCUCGAUGUCAUCGCUGCGGCCGGUCUCGGCCCCGCCAGGUGAGCGAGCGAUCGGCGUCCACAUACGCACAUGCAGCCACGCGCAAGCAACUACGUGUGGCCGCUUGAACCUGUGAUGCCCGCAUGGCACUUUACACAGCUUGGCGCUCUUCGGGAGUGCGCUGCCGCCGCACGCCUCUGCGCCCGGCGCGGCCGCAAACGGACCUCAGCUGCAGCUACAGCCGCACAUGUGCGCACAAGACACUGCAGGCGCUGCUGCCGCCACCGGCUGGCUGUGCCGGAGCAGCACUGGGUGCGCCGGCGGCACGGCAGUUGGUGCUGCAUCUGUUGCGGCAGCAGUAUCAGCGGCUGGCGGCGGCUGCGGCCCCUCCGCCAGCUGCUGGCUGCCGCAGCUGCACGAAGAGCUGAGUGCGCUCAUGACGGCGGUGGAGAUGGCGCAGCAGGUGAGGGGAAGCCGAGGGGCGCGGGGUGUUGUGGGAUGUCAGAGUCUCAGAUGUCGGUUUUAGGCCUUAGAAGUGCCUGAUUGGUUGAGGUUUCACUGCUUGCUACCUACCUACCUCGCGCCUGUCACUGUGCAGCCUCCGGAGUCGCACGUGGUGGUGGUGAGCCCGGUGGCGUGCGAGGAGGCUUUGUCAGGGCUCCUGGGGGCGGGCUCGGGCGGGGUGAUGGUCGCAGCCUCCACUGUCCCGUUCGUGCUGGUGCCCGGGGAGCAGCUUGCGCUUCCGGUGCUUGACCGCACCGGGCGUCUGGCGGCGGCGCUGCUGCUGGGUCUCGGGGACUUCCAGCCGCAUGCUGCUCCUGCUGCUGCUACCGAGGGUCUGCAGCUGACGUCACCAGACGUGGCGGAGCUUCAGCGGCUGGCGCAGUUCUUUGGUUACGGCAUGUUUGCGGACCCUGUCCACACCAAAUAUCUGUCGAAGGUGCGUUUGGCAUAGCCGUGAUCAAAAUUACGUUUUGUUCUUCAUCUUCUUCACCACAGCUUUCUCGCCACUGUUCCGUCGCCCACUUUUCGUCGUACCCUGCCCACCUCUCCCACCGCCACGCCUCCCUCCUCACUCCCGUCAGGUUGCCUCCCACCUGUCCUCCGCCUCCGUCAGCCUCAGCCUGCACGACCUGGUGUGUGCGGUGCUGGACGCGGUGCCCGACCUGCUGGCCGCAAAGACGGGACUCACACGGCCGCACGCGCUCAUGGCAGCAACCACCGCGCCGCCGGGGCAGCCGCCGAGCCCGCCGGCGGUGGCGGCAGUGGCCGGGGCGGCGCCGGGCACCUCUCCGGCUGCCAGCAUCACUGGCGGCGGCCUGAGCCCGGCAGUCAUAUUCAUGCCGCGGGGGCGGAACGGGUCCGGCGCGGACGCAGCUGCUGCGGACCCCGCACCCGCAGGGCCGGCGGCAGGCGCUGCCGCCACCACCGGCACCCGUAGCGGGCCAGGUGUUGCUGCCGACGGCUCUGGUGUCACCUCCCAGAACGUGUUGAGCAGCAGUGGCCACCUGGGCACCGGCACGGGCGGCGCCUGCAGCUUCCCCGCGCCGCUGCAGGCCCCCGCCGUGUCCGGGAGCCACGGCGCCCCCCCGGCCGCCAGCCCCGCCCGUCAGCAGCCAGGUCAGCAGCAGGCAGGGCCGGCAGCUGGCGGCGCACCCUCUCUGCACAACUUAGGAAGCAUAUUCGGCAGCAACUACAGCACGGGCGGCAUCGGCGGCAGUUUGGAAGCGGGCGGCGGCGAGGGCGGCCACCAUAGGCUGCUGGCGGGGGGGCCGUACGCGGAGCGCCAGCCGCCGCCGCCGCCGCCGCCGCGCCCCGCCCGCAUCAAGGCGGUGCGCCUGCCGCUGAACGGCACACUGCUGCUGCAGACUAUCAGGUAGGCUGGGGUCUGGACUCUACAGCGUGCAGGAUAUGAGUGCUGGGGCCUGAGGGCUGGGGCCUGGGGCUCGUGGACGUGUCGGCGCACAUGGAGAGCUCCAGGAGUUCCCGGGAUUGUGUAGCCCAAGGGGAUCGCUGACACACUGCUGGCACAACCCAUGUGGCCCACGUCGUGUAGCUGCUCCUCCCAAUGCCAAUGCGCGAUUCCCUUGCACAGGUCCGCCCAGGUGGCGCAGACCGCAGCCACCGCAGCUGCCGGCCCCAUGCAGAACCGCACGCUGGCCGCCUCCGCCGCCCAUGCCGCCUCCGCGCCGCUGCCGCGCCCCAGCGGCCGCGUGGCUCUGGGCCUGCUGUCUAGCGCCGCGUGCGCCAGCCCCUCGCUGCACGGCGGCACACCCGCACUCAUGGACACGGGCGUUAUCAGCGGCGGCGGCGUGCACUCGCCCUCCAGCGCCGCCGGGCCGCCCGAUGUGCUGGUGGCGGUGAUCCCCGACGCCAGCGCCCACGUGCUGGACGAGCAGCAGCCGCAGCUGGACGUGCGCCUGGCCAGCAGCCUGGUGCUCACACUGGCGGGCGGCGGCGGCGGUGCAGGAGGCGGUGGCGGUGCAGGAGGCGGUGGCGGUGCAGGAGGCGGCGGCGCUGCAGGAGGCGGCGGCGCUGCAGGAGGCGGCGGCGGUGAGGGCCCCCUGCACAGCUCCACCGCCAGCCUGACGCAGCUGGGCGGCGCCGGCGGCUCUGCCCUGGCGUCCAUUACAAGCGUGCCCACCUCCCACGCCGGUACUGUGCUGCUGUGCCUGGAGUCGUUGUCCGCCGCCGCAGCUGCGGCCGGCGCCUUCAAUCCAGCGCUAGCAGCAGGAGCCGCGAUGGUCGCUACAGCCGCCGAAAGGGGUGCCACCGGCAACUUCAGCCGGCCCAGCCACAGCAGCACGGGUGGACCGAGCUGCCUGGGCCUCACGCCCGCUCCCUCCUACGUGCCCGGCACCAUCCCCACCGCCGCAGCCGCAGCCGCCACAGCCACCGUUGGCCCCGCCGCCAACCCCUCGCCCUGGCGCAACCGCGGCUCUGGCAACUACGCCGCCGCCGCCUCCUCGACCGUAGGCGGCAGCCACGCCGGCCCCGCUUCCAUGGGUAGCAUGAGCACCAACCUGGCCUCAAGCACCGUCCGCCACAGCGCCGGCAGCCGCCUGGGGCUGGGCAGCUGCGCCGGCGGCCCGCUCAGCCACUCCUAUUGGCCUCACAUGACCGCGCCCGGUGUCGGCGGUGCAGGCUGGAGCCACGGCGGCGGCGGCGCAGACCGCGACUCGGCGUCCAGCGGGGCCUACACACACGGCGGUGCAGCAAGCGCGGUAGGAGGAGCAGGCGCGCUCAGCUGUCAAGCCGUCGGUGCGGGCGUGGCGGCGGCGGAGCUGGCGGCCUUAGGUGCCUCCAACGCGGCUGCGUCCGCGCAACACCAGCAUGCGGCAACUGGUGCGCUGGUGAGCGCCCAUGCGGCCGGGGUGGCGGCGGUGGCGCUUGGCGCCGCAGCCCGGGCGCGAGCCUCUCUGUGCCCCGGCCCCGGUCAGCUGGGCGUGUACGUGGUGUUUGCGGAGGUGCUGCCGCGCGGGCUGCUGGAGCUGGCGGCCAGGGAGCUGGCGGCAGUCAUGCCGGUGAGGAGGAGCGCAGGACCGCGGGGCCCGGCAGGGCGGAGCGGCGGAGGGUGUACGAUGUGCGCGCGUGCGUGCGUGCGUGUGUGUGUGUGUGUGUGUGUGUGUGUUUUAGGGCUUACAGUUGCCUUCCUUGGGGAUUUGCGUGUAUCCACUCUCCCUGUCCUCUUGUGUAUGUGUAUGAGCACCUGUCUAAUGCCUGCAAGCAGCACGUCGGUUGUGCAGACCAAGAUUGUGCUUUGGCGUGCUUCCUCUCCCUCGUCCUUCAGGUCAUCUUCAGCACCUUCCGGGAGUCCCUUGCCGCAUCCGCAUCCGCCGCUGUCAAUGCCGCCGCUGCGGCCGCAAUCGCCGCAUCGACGAUUGAUGCGACGGGUAGCAGAGCAGCAGGCGGCGCACUGGACGCAGGCGCGGCGAGCUCCACUGCCUCGGAGUGGACAGCCCUCUCGACACAGCUGACUGGGCGCGCACCCGGCGGUGGACUAGGCGGCAACACCACCGCAUCUGCGCUGGUCUCCACAGGUUGCGGCGGUGGGGUUGCCGGGCUGCUCGGUGCCACCGGGCACCUUCUGCACAACGGCGGUGCCGCGGCGUGGCUGGACGCCGCAACACUGGCUGGUGGCGGCAGUGUUGGCAGCGGCGGCUAUGUGCCCCCGCCCUCGGCCCCACUGCCCAGCCCGCUUGUAGGUGGUGGUGGCGGUGCUGGUGGUGGCAACACGUUACUGUCAACUGUGUCAGAGCACACCGUGGCCGCACACGGCCCCGCAGCGGCUGCCGCAGACGCCGCAGUGCUGACCGCAGCCAGCCGGCCCGGCGGCGCCCGGCUGAGCGGGACGGGCGGCCCGGGCGCGGCGGCGGCGGCCUCCAUGCCCCUGCCACGCCGCACCAGCACCGACCGCAUGAGCAGCGGCGGCAGCGGCAGUGCUGGUGCACUGCCGCCGCCUCUGCGGGGCCAUUCGGCGCUGGAGUCCAUUCAGAAACGCCUGGGCGCCGCCUUCGGAGCCGGCCCCACAGGCGGCGGCGGAGGCAGCCAACCGCCCAUGCCGCGCCUGGCGUCCAGCAGCAGUGUGCAGCACCCGCCGGUGCCCGGCGCUCCCCUUCCUCAAGAUUUGAUGCUGCCGCCCCACAGCACCGCUGCAGCCGGGGGCCAGCAACGCGGUUUCCCACGGCUGCUGGCAGGGCCACCGCCCGCGCCCUCAACCCCCUACGCCCACCCCUCCCUCCCUGCCAUACCAGCCGACCAAGAGGCGCGGCCGUACGCCAUGACCUUCGCCACGCCUGCACCUACUUACGCCACCGGCCAGCCGCCGCCCUACCUGGCUCCCCACCUCGCCGCGGCCCCCCACCUGCACGGCCCCCACACCGGCAUGCGCAUGGGCCCGCGCCGCAGCGCCACUGUGGGCCCCGCCGCCAUGCGCGAGCUGCACUCCAGCUCCGGAGCCGUGCAGGCCCCCCAGGGGCCCAGCUCAGCUGCCGGCCCCGGGGCCGCCAGCAGCACCUGCCACCUGCUGGCCGCCGCGGCCGCCGCCGGCCCCACGUCCGCGGCCUCUGGCGCCUACCGCUGGUCUGUCAGCAGCGCCCUGGCGCCCAUGUCGCCCCGCAGCGGCACCCUGGGCUCCACCACGGGCACGGCGCUGGCCUCGGGUCCGGCGCUGUUCCUGGAGGACGCUGCCGCCGCCAGCGUGGGCGGCAUGGCGCCGCCGCCCACUGAGGCUCUGCUGGCGGCCAUGCGGCGGCGGCUGUCCACCGCCCUCAACUCGCACGAGGAGGGACAGCAGGCAAAGUGAGCGGGCUGGGGGUGGGGUGGGUGGGCAGGGGUCGGAAACGAUACGGCCUAUGGGCACGUGCCUUCUGAUGGUGGUGGUGCAGACACGAGUGCCGCGGCGGCGGUGUCGUCGUCUGGGCUGGCGGUGACUGGGUGGCUGCCCGUGUUUGUUGCCCUUCCUGUACCCAACAUUGACAGGGCGGCUGUGAGUCAGGACAUUGCAGCGGUGGAGCUGCUGGAAAUGCUGGGUGAGGACAGAGAGGAAAAGGAGCAAUGUCGUGAUGACUAAGGCAUAGUAGUGGUCGGCAAGUCUUGAUGUCGCCCGAACGCUCUGUUAUGACGACAUCGUAGGGCUGCGGCCAGGUGGGAGCCAUACCACCGACGGCCGCCUUGCUCAUUCCCUCCUGCCCACCCCAACAACCCAGUAACCAGCCCCUGAUCCCUCCUCCCCGCGCAUUCGCACGUGCCUCGUCAGGCCACGGCGGCCAGGGUGUGGUGUUCCGCGGCACGCUGCACGGACUGGAGGUGGCGGUCAAGGUGCUGGAGCAGCAGAAGCCGCCCGCAGCGUCACCCGCGCCGGGGCGGCAGCAGCAGCAGCAGAUCGGCGACGGCACAGCGCAGGGGGCGGAGCAGCCGGUUGCGCAAGCGGGCGAAGGCGGGGGCCCCUGCACGGGUGGCGGGGCGGAGGACGCUAUGAAGGAUGAGGCGGAGCAGGAGCAGCACGAUGCGUUCGUGCGCAUGGUGAGUGCCCAGGCCUCCUCACUGGGGUCGAGCCGGGCGGUGCUGACGUCUACACACGGCCACACGGUGUACAGCAAGAUGUGUGCUGCACCUGCAAGGCCACACACACUGCUGUGCUGCUCAUGCCGUGCUUUUUGAUGCGCCUGCGGUGUUGACCUGCGGCUCCGUGUGUCGUGCAGUUCAAGCGGAGCGCUUUGGAGCUCGCGGUUGCGGGUGUGGUCAGGUGGGCUGGGAGUGGUCAGCGUGGGCAAGAUAAGCAGGUGGUGGACCGACUGGCGCAAUAAGGCUGUGUGUGCGGGCCUGUGACACCGGCAGCUCAUGACUGAGACAUGGGCAUAUAAUUGCCGCUCACGAGUCCCUCGGCCCUCCCCUCCCCUUUCUGUGCUUCGACGCACUCCCCGGCACCGUCCUCCCCGGCACCGCCCUGCUCGGCAUCGCCCUCAUCGCCGUCCUCUUCGCGUCUGCGCCGUCGUCGUCGCCACCGCCAACGCCCGCACCCGCACAGCCACCCGAACAUCGUGCAGGCGAGUACCGCCACGCCGCUGACUGGUGCUGCUGCAUCCCCCGGCGCUCUCCGUGCCCCCUCAAUGCCACCACCGCCACUGCGUGCAAUUUCUAACCACCCGUGCCCGCACCCACACCCGCCCCACAGGUGUAUGCGGUGUUCAGUGACGUGUCGGUGGUGCGGCUGAAGCAGGCGGAGGGACAGCCCGCGCAGCUGAGGCUGUGCGCGGCGGAAGACCUGCGGGCAGCGGGCAUCGCUCCAGGUGAGUGCGCGGCAAGCCCCCAGCGCGGCUUGCGGCUGUCGGUUGUUGUGCGGUCGUGUCAAUGUUAUGGUGCUAGUAUUCCGUCGGCCUUUGAGCUUCCUGCAAGUACACGGCACCUUGGGCCUCACAACCUGACGCCACGGCCCCCGCAUGCCACGACCGUCACCGCCCGCCACCCACCUGCACCUGCACCUGACAGACCCGCUCAACCAGGUCCUGUGUCUGGAGGUGCGUGUGCUGCCCAGCAGCAGGCCGCAGAGGCCAGGGGAGGCCAGGAAUGUGGCACUUUCAUGUUGUCGCCCAGCUUGCAGCUUCAGCCGCAAGGGUAUUUGCUCUUGAUGACUCAUUGACUCAUCAUCUCGCACUGUCCUUCCAACCAACCCAUAUGUCACCGCAGUACUGCGACUCGGGCUCGCUGCUAGAUCAGGUGCGCUCCGGCGCGUUCCGGCAGCCGUGCGCCUCCAGCGCCGAGCAGGGAGCCAUGUGGCCGGCGCUGGUGCCCCUGUACACGAGCCUGCUGGAGGUGGCGCUGGCGCUGCGGCACAUGCACUCCAAGCGGCUGGUGCACUGCGACGUCAAGGCCGCCAACGUGCUGCUCAAGAGCUCGGCAAGGGACCCCCGCGGCUGGAGCUGCAAGCUGAGCGACUUUGGAUGGUGCGUGCACGUGUGCGCAUAGGAUCAUGUAAUGAUGCAGCCGCACCGCUGUGUGGGCAGGCGUGGUGAAGGGUGACAGCCGCAAGCGUAUGUUUCAAUUGCUUGGGUGCAAGUGCUGUGUGCUGCCCUGCAAUGGGCCUCGCCUCUUGUCUGCAAUACCCACCCAGUCAUCUGUACCGCCUCUGCCACGUGCUAACACCCCAUGGCCUGCCAUGUGCGCCGCUCGCUUGCUGCCUGCCCCGUAGCGUGCGUAUCCUGAAUGAGGAGGGGCCGGACGGGCAGCCCGGCUUCCGCAUGGCACACCCGCACGGCACAGUCGCUUUCCUGCCGCCAGGUGAGUCCGCUGGGCACCUGCCGCAUGGGCACCUGCCGGGCACCUGCAUGCGGAUCCGCAGUGACGCCGUUUAAUGGAAGAAUGUCAUGCAUACACGUGUGUUCAAGAGCACACGGAAAAAACAAUACGCGCAAGACAGUGUGUGCGAUGCGAUGGCGUGUGUGUGUGCGCGCGUGUGCGUGUGUGUGUGUGUGUGUGUGUGUGUGUGUGCGUGUGCGUGUGUGUGUGUGUGUGUGUGUGUGUGUGUGUGUGUGUGUGUCUGUGCGUGCUCGCGCGCACGACUCCCGCCGCUACAUGCCGUGGAGUUGACAAGCCCAGCACCUGAGCCCGAGCCAUGAUGCCUGCCCGCCUGCAGAGGUCUUCAAGGGCCCGCGUGUGCUAUUGGGCACCUCCCUCGACAUCUACGGUAAGGCAACGGUGCAAAGCGAGGACUGCGUGUGUGUCCGUGAUGGGCCGCCUCUCACCUGCGCUGUACAAACUCACUUGUUCUGCCCUGCUUCCCGCUAACGUGUCGCUGAGUGUUUUUCGUUUUCCUCCUUGUUACGCCCUGACCCCGCGCAGCCUUCGGCAUUCUGAUGUGGUAAGUGCGGCGCUGUGCUCGAGAGAGCAACCUCGUGUCAUCUACCCGUGCAGGGAGUACUGCUGCGUCUCUGAGUGCGAAAUAAACUGACUGACUGGUCGCGUCCUGCACCACCGACAGCGGCACUGAAUGCCUCCUGUCCCCCUGCUCCUGCUUCCCCCCGCCCUACCCCCCGCCCCUGCAGGGAGCUGCUCAUGGCGCGCACGCCGCACAGGGGCCUGGACCGCAAGGUGGGUGGCCGCGUUGGCAGGCGCCGGCGCGGGUGUGGGCGAUCAGAGGUGUGGAGGUGGGAUGAGCGGGCUCAGGUACUUCCGGUGGCCAUUGACCGGAGGCCAUCGGAAUGAAUGCAGGCACAUGCGCAGCCGCUCUCCCCUCAGCGUCGCACGUGCCCCUGGUGUUUGCGGGUGGUCCCUGUUUGGGUAGCCUAUGCGCAACUACAUACUGCGUGUUCCCCCGCCUUUUGUGUCGCCAAUCUCUGCAUACGAUACACACACGCGCGCGCACACAGGACAUUCCGAGGCAGGUGCUCCACGCCGGGCUGCGGCCCGCCUUCCACCCGCUGGCGCCCGAGCCGUACAGGCAGCUGGCGGCGCGGUGCUGGUCCGCCAACCCGCGCGUGUGAGUGUGGCUGGCACCGGUGCGGGCGGCGGGUGGGCAUGGGCACUGGCUCGGGCGUGGGCAUGGGCAUGACAGUCUCGUGGGGUGGCCGGGCUAGGCGCACAUGCUUGCUACUGCGGCGGCUGCGGCUCCCACUUCAGCUUCGCCCGCUAGGGGUCCAAGUCGUAUGCAAACCUCCUCAUCCCUGAGCCGAGCUGUCUGCUGACCCGCUUGGACACAGCCCCUCGCCUCCCCCCCCGUGAUCAUGCCACCCUUCUCGUCCCGCCCUCCUCAUCUCGCUCUACCCCCCUCUCCAGUCGGCCCACUGCGCUGGCGCUGGUGGCGGAGCUGCAGCAGCUGCUGGCAGACGCGCAGGCGGCGGCGGCAGAGGGGCUACAGCUGCGGUGAUUCAUACAUGGCAAGGAGGGUUCGUGCCAGUGGGCGUCGGUGGGGGCGGAGCGUCGGGCAGGAGCCGGCGUGGGGGCGCGUGGAGGUCACUUGGGGACACGUACGCCAAACAGGGGAUCUGAAGAAAUCAACCGCUGCGGGGAUUCCAGAAAUUUCAUAAUGGACGCGAAGUAAUGUCCGGGUCUAUCAAUCAAGCAAUGAGCAUACCCCCCGCGAAGCACGAAAGCAAUCGGACAGGCAUGGGUGGAUGUGAGCAAUGGGUCGGAGUGUUGGAUUCAGGACGGGUCCGUGCCAUGAGCUGCGCCUGCCGCUGUUACGGGUACUUGAGGCUGCAGGUCAAGGUGCGACGACGUAGAUGAAUGGAGCAACAGGGCCUCAAAGUGAUUGUUGGCACUUUCGCGAUGCCAGUCCGUAUCCUUGUGAUGCAUUGCAAACGAAUGUGUUCGAGUGUGAGAGGUUAUUGAUGUUGCCAGGGUGCUUCAAGCAUGCAUGCAUGAAGAAGCGCAUGUAUGGAGAGGUCAAACUUAAAUGGGUGUGCGCGUGCACCUGAUAUGGAUGGAGCCGUGAACAUGCGCCGCGCCCACACACGCACGGGGCUCUGUAUUGGCCAAGGGCUGCGGCCACCGCACCCAUGCGGUUGGUCUGGUUCUUUUUGCAUGAUGAGGUAUUCAGACCCCCGUGCACCAAGGCCUCGGUGGUGCCACGUCAUUUCCGAUGUUGAGGUUCAACCGCAUAGGAAUUCCAUGCUUCUUUUGCUGGCGGAUGUAUGUGUGGCAGACGUCACUACCGGUCGUGUGCCGAGCACAGGCGUUCUUGCUACCGCGCAUUACUAUGCUGCAUCCUUAUCAACUUUCGCAUAAAGGCACAUUACGUGAUGGACAAACGCCCAAGCACGCAAACGCGCUUCGGGUGCGUCUUGGAUGCUGGGUACGUAUAAACUUCCGUGAUAUCCGCUGGUUACUGCUGAAGGAGUCUUCGGGGUCUCUUUUUGUGAGUUCAAGCAAAGUGUGCUGGACUGCAUUGCUCUGUUGUGGUAGCAGGGUGAGCCAAUGCCUUACAAAGCUAUACAUGUAGAUGGCGGCUGCGGAUGGCUUUGGAACCCCGCCAUGGCGAGGGAAUAGGGUCAUGGCAGCUGGUGAGUGGUCCCCGUCACCUCCUUGCCGGCUGCUGGGGGCCACCGCCAUGGACCCAUGGUGCACAGCAGUCACGGCUCGCGCUCGUGCACCAGCAGUAUCAUCCAGGCGGCCCCUGACGCAGCAGCCAAGUUGAUCGGGCUUCUGUAGUGCUGUGUGUCGUGUUGGCGUACGUAGCGCUGUGAGCCGUUCCACGGACACCCCACACGCAAAGACUGGGACUGUGAUAUGUUACUUGAGGACUCAUGCAUCCUUAUUGGCCUUACUUCAGUGGCAUGUGUCGCUGCCACACCGCCUUUGUUUCGAUGCUGUCGGCACACCUGGGCAAGGCCUCACUGUGAUGACGCUUGCGUAUAUAUUAUUCGGGGUGGAUAAGCGGAGUGAAAUUGUAGCUGGUAGGGGAGGCAUGAACUUCACAACGUACCCUUGUCAAUUUAGCGGCCGCCAAACCGCACCUCCUCAUCACGACCCGAUACACUCCCACGCGCUGCACCUAGCGUCCCUAGCACACACGCGCACAAAACCCGCCGCCAUUGCUGCCGGCGUCCUAUGAUUUGAGGGGCUCAGCCCCUUUUCCCGUGACCGGGGAACACUUGUCAAUUAAGCGCAUAGCAGCGCCCGAACCUCACUACUGUUUCAGAUGCAUGCGUGCCAGUGUACGCUUGUACCGUGCAUGUGAGUAGAAGAAGUUGCGGUUGCCGGCACCACAUGGGAGCUGGCAUGUCUGGAUUAACCACUCCGGGUCCUUCAUACGUGGUGAGACUGCCAAGGCGCGAUUGGUGUGUCGAGCUGGGGCCUAGGACGAGGUGUGCGAGUCUCGCCCUCACCUGUAGAGGGUUGCCAUGUGCGCGGGACCGGGUGGCGCGCAACUACGGGUAUCGUAGCAGAGGCGGGUAAGGAGCUGUGGAUGGGAGCACUGGCUGCUGUGGUCGCCUGUUGGGAGGGCCAUGGUUGCACACAGGGUCCACGUUGGCAUCGAAGUGGGGGGAGGGCAAGUCGGUGGCAGCAGGCCUGAUACAGUGCUCGUAUCUUCCAUCUACACUGUAGAAAUCUGCCCAAAAUCCGCCGAAGGCGGAGAAAAAUUGAUGGGUUUGGGUGCCACGCAUCUACGCAGUGUAGACGGUUUUGGCCGGUUUUGGCGCAAAAAUGGGGGAAGCGUAGACGUUUUGGGGGGCUUGGGGGCUUAAGUGUAGAUGCCGCGGUCAGGGUCAUCUACGCAUGUGUAGAUGCCGGGUGCCUGAGGGCAUCUACAAGAUACGAGCAUCUACAAGAUACGAGCCCUGAUACUAGCGAGGCGGAUUGUAAAAGCAACGUCCUAUCUUGCUACGGCGGUGGCACUGUCUGGCUUGGGUCGGCGUCGGGCGACAUGCAGACGGGGUUUGUGUUAAGUCGUGUUAUGUGACUUAUGUCGCGUAGAUCACGCGGGGCAGUGCAAGGCGUAUCUACUUCGGGAGGGGUGGAAGAAUAGCUGAUGAUGUCAUCCACUGCGUGCGGGUCUGUGCACAGGUGCACGUACGGGAUGACUUGCCUGCAUAGCCAGGAGCGCGAGGCCAGGGUGACCAAAUUGAGCAGUGAAUGGCAGAUGUGGGGUGCCAGCGGUCCUGGGCAGCGCGUGACGUGCCAGGUGUGGGGCGGGGGCCGGGUGGGGGCGGUCGGCCACUGCGCCCAUGCAGGGGAGGCCCAGGGGAGGCCCUUCCCUGACUGCGUCGACUGCGGCCGGCCUUGACAAAAAGGUGGCUUUCCCUCGCAAGGGAAAAGUGGGCUGAGCCCACGCCACGUCCGCCGUCUGAGGCCGAAGGUUCCGGAACUACCUCAUCUCCCGGACAUAGCCUGGGUCGGUUCGUACAGGGAGGUGAGGUAGACGCUUGCAGCCUCAGACUGGAGGCGUGGCGUGGGCUCAGCCCACUUUUCCCUGGCGAGGGGAACCACGUAUCUUGUCCUCAAUGCUCAAUCGCUGCCGUGCCUAUAGUCAACUAUAAGUAGCGGCUAGGGCGUCUCCACGGGGGCUAGAAACCGGUCUCAGUCAAGGUUGCUCCUGGGUAGGGUUUUGGCCACAUGGGUGGUGGGCGGCCGAGCAACCUUUCAGAGACCAAAAGGCCUCUGCUGGAACGUACUCAUCACGAAUAUUACGACCACCACACAAUCAAUGAUACGCUGCAGGGCAAACUACUGACGCGGGUGGAACUGUACAAGGGUGCUUCAGUUGCAGACCUGACGCAGCGCUUGUUUGGCGAGUUAAAUUGUUUUCAGUAUAGAGAGCAUGAUGAGUUACUAGCUGCAGUGCGUCAACCCUGACGCGUGGUCCAGGACUGGAUUUUGUCCUCAGAUCAUAGCACGCGGCGAGUAACCCAACGGUGCUAUAUCCCCAAAUGCGUGUACUUGCAAUACGAUACCUAUACAAAUUAUCAUAGUCAUUUCGUAUUCGAUAUCCGGGCGCCAGCCGGCACCUUUCCGGGUGACAAGUCACGUUCACUCGAGCCACGUUCGAAAUGUUAUGUUGUAUAUUCAAGGCGUUCGCGGGUAUUGGUACUGACGAGAAGCAAGAUGAUGCGUUGUGCGGUGGCCGCGCGGCCGACCCAUCGAGCACAGCGCAACCCGCAAGUGCAGGCCGCGCGAGUGCAUUAUCCAGCGCUUCGGGUGGUAGUACAAUGUGCAUGGAUACGGACUGUUGCAGCGCGGCGCCUAUAAUGACGGGGUUAGCAAGCAUCAAUGCGCUUUCGCAAAGGGCCUCUGCGGCAUGUAAGCUCUUAUCACUGACUGCGGGCGCUGGAAAUUGGUUCGAUCGCAUGCAAAGCGGACUGCUUGCGAUUGAGACGACGGUCGGCAUCGGCCCCGUCGGGUGAGUCAUCUGACGAAACCACGCUGAGCGUGUGCAACACAUUGCUAAAGCGGAAGAAACCCCGACGCUCGAUUGCUCCUGACUGGAUACAAACAGCGACUGUGCGGGUCCGUAUUCAUGUCCGUAUGUUAACACGCGACCAACACGAACGUGGAACCCCUGCCUGCAGGCUAGCCCUGUUCCACCACACAUCGGACGCCAGCCCGUUCGGUACGUCUCACACCGCCGGCUGGCUGUGCCGGAGCAAUGGGGGCGCAGUAUCAGCGGCUGGCGGCGGCGGCGGCCCCUCCGCCAGCUGCUGGCUGCCGCAGCUGCACGAGGAGCUGAGUGCGCUCAUGACGGCGGCGGGGAUGGCGCAUCAGGUGAGGGGAAGCCGAGGGGCGGGGAGUGUUGUGGGAUGUCAGAGUCUCAGAUGUCGGUUUUAGGCCUUUGAAGUGCCUGAUUGGUUGAGGUUUCACUGCUUGCUACCUACCUACCUCGCGCCUGUCACUGUGCAGCCUCCGGAGUCGCACGUGGUGGUGGUGAGCCCGGUGGCGUGCGAGGAGGCUUUGUCAGGGCUCCUGGGGUUGGGCUCGGGCGGGGUGGUGGUCACAGCCUCCACUGUCCCGCUCGUGCUGGUGCCCGGGGAGCAGCUGGCGCUUCCGGUGCUUGACCGCACCGGGCGUCUGGCGGCGGCGCUGCUGCUGGGUCUCGGGGACUUCCAGCCGCAUGCUGGUCCUGCUGCUGCUACCGGGGGUCUGCAGCUGACGUCAACAGACGUGGCGGAGCUUCAGCGGCUGGCGCAGUUCUUUGGUUACGGCAUGUUUGCGGACCCUGAACAUACAGCCUUCCUGACCAAGGUGGGUUAGUGUUUUACCCUCGCUCUUUUAGCCGCGCCAAACGUGCCGACUUAUGCUAUAAGGAUGCCGUUGCGCCGCGUGUUCCCAACUUACCACGAAGCCCGACUCCCCGUGUUUACAUCCGCGCUCCCGCCUCUCCCACCGCCACGCCUCCCUCCUCACUCCCGUCAGGUUGCCUCCCACCUGUCCUCCGCCUCCGUCAGCCUCAGCCUGCACGACCUGGUGUGUGCGGUGCUGGACGCGGUGCCCGACCUGCUGGCCGCAAAGACGGGACUCACACGGCCGCACGCGCUCAUGGCAGCAACCACCGCGCCGGCGCCACCAGCUGCUGUGACGGGUCGCGGCAGCUACGGCGGUGACUCCUUGCCGUUUUACCCCGGCACCACCACCGCUUCCGCUACGGCUGUCGGCUGCCCACCACCGCUGCUAACAUCGGCAGUGUCCCUGGCGUCGCCAUCCUCAGCAGCCACCGCCACCAGCACAGCGGCUGUUGUUUUCGUGCCGAAACCCGGCGUUUUCACACAGCCGCUGUCUGUCACUGCGCCCCCGCCUCAGCAUCACGGGCAAGGGCUGGACGGCGGCGGUGAGUGUGAUGACCCCCUGCUGCGGCUGAUGGACACGCUGACAUCGCCCCGCCUGGGCGCUGCUGCUGCUGCUGCUGCUGCUGCGGCGGCGGCGGCGGCGGCGGCGGUGGCUACGGGUGCGGGCUCCGGCCACACUGCGGCACACCACACGGCCUCGCCGUUUUCAGCGGCAGCAGUAGGGUCGCAGCCGCACGCCGGUCAUCACGCCAACGGCAGCCCGCACCCGGCAACAACGGCAAGCGUGAACACACGCAGCGGCGGCGGCAAGCUCCUCGAGGGCGGGGCGGGCGGAAUUCAGGGUCUGCUGGGCGAGGGUGUGGGACUCGGGAGUGCCUCGGACCUGCACCUACUGCUGGGCUCGCUCACGCCAGGCGGCGGCGGUGCAGAUGUAGGCGGUGCGUGGGGUGAGCGGCCGCAGCCGCCGCCGCGCCCCGCCCGAGUCAAGGCCGUGCGACUGCCGCUUUCCGACACCCUGUUGCAGGACACCCUCCGGUGAGGCACCGACUGCGACACUGGUGGCCACUGAGCCUGUCACUGAUCUGUUGUGCGGCAGGCGGCACGUCGGCAUGGCAUUCAGUAGCACAAUUGCCGGGCUUCCUGUCCGCCCCCCGCGCCAUCUCAGGUCGGCGUCGCUGUCCACAAGCACGCCCGGGCCGACAUCCUACGCCUCCGGUUCUACCUCGCUCAACAUGCCGGCUUGGCCAUCUGCCCCGCUGCCGCCGCACCUGCCCCGCGCUCGGCCGCCCGCAGCAGUAGCCGCACCGGUGGUGGGCGGUUUCAACAAGGGCAACACUGCUGCUUGGCCACAAGUGCCCCCGGCUGCCUCUGGGCCUCUGGGCACAGUCAGCAGCGCCGGAGCUGCUGCCGUCGGCAGGCUCCCGCGGUCGUCGCUGCCAGCAGUCGUGGUCAAGGUGGUGUCCGAUGCGAGCAGCCACGUGCUCUGUGAGUCGCAGCCGCCGCGGGAUGUCCGCAUGUGCGGAAACGCCCUCGCAGGGCUACUGGCAGCAGCAAGUGGUGCUGGCGCCACGGCGCCACUGCAAGCGCCUGGAGCCAAGUCCAGUGCUUCAGGGCAGCAGCAGCACCAGCUCUCGGUGUCGCCUGGCACCCUACUGCUCUGUGUUGAGGCCGCUCCCACCCUUGCUUCUGCUCCGGCGUCUUCGGCUGAGACCGGCGCGUGGGGCGGCGGGCCGCUGCUGGCUCCGGCCCCCGCCCCGCCGCUGUCCUGUGCCUCCACCGCGGACGCAUCCGCCCUGCCGCCCAGCACGGCCCUGCUCAGCUCCCUGGCUAGCGGGCUGGGCGGCGGCGCAGACGGCGGCCGCAGCCUGCUGCCGGGCGGUGGGUCUGCAGCGUCCACGUGGGGCCACGGCUACGGCUACAGCUGCAGCAACCUGAGCGGCUGCCUGAGGCCGUCCGCCGGGGCCCCACCGCCAGCGGCUGGGGGCGGCUACGGACUCCAGCAUUCAGGACAUGCCCAGCAGCAGCACCAGCAGCAGGCGCGAGCCUCUCUGUGCCCCGGCCCCGGUCAGCUGGGCGUGUACGUGGUGUUUGCGGAGGUGCUGCCGCGCGGGCUGCUGGAGCUGGCGGCCAGGGAGCUGGCGGCAGUCAUGCCGGUGAGGAGGAGCGCAGGGCCGCGGGGCCCGGCAGGGCGGAGCGGCGGAGGGUGUACGAUGUGGAUGUCUGUACAUACGAGGGGCAACUGGCCAUUGGUUGGGGCAAAUGUGUAGGAUGCAAACCCCCAAAGUUCGUAAACCCAUGCUGAUGUCUGCCUCCUCUUCACUCCUUAGAUCAUCUUCAGCACGUUCCGUGAGUCCCUCGCCGCCUCCGCCACCGCUGCUGCCGUAACUGCCGCCGCCACCACUACUGCGACCAGCUGCUUCACUGGCGGCGGCGCGACCUCACCGCUGCCAGAUCCGCUGCUGCACGACACCAUGGCUGCCGCCCGCUGUCACGGAGCGCCCGCCGCCCAGCUGGCGGCGGACUGGCAGGCGCUGCACUGCCAGCUCACAGGACAGCCGGUGCCGCCGCCGCCGCCGCCGCCGCCGCGGAUGCCCGUCCCGCUGGGACUGCCAUCAUCAGCAGCCGCGCCAGCGGUGACCAGCGGCUGUGGCCUAGCGCGCGCCUCCCCCGCAACCGCCGCCGGCAUCAUGACGCCGCCGCCGCAGCCAGCACACCACCAGCUGCCGGUGUCCUGUCCCAGUGGCAACAACGUGCUGGCGGCGGCGGCGGCGGCGGCGGCGGCGGCCAACGGCUCCGUGCUGUCCACCGUGUCCGAGGACGGGCUGGCGGCGCCAGCGGCGGCUGCAGCGGCGGCAGUGGCGGACAGUGACGUGGACACAUCAGAGCUGUUGGAUGCAGUGCAGUCGGCGGCGGCGCCGUCUCUGCCGCCUUCUGCGGCGCCCAUCGUCGCGCACAGCAGUGACCCGCUGGUACGGCGCCUGAGCCUGAGCCGCGCCAUCAUGGGCGGCGGUGGCGGCGGGACCAACAGCGCCGCGGCGGCCUUGCGCUGCCCCGUCAGUCCAGGCAGCCGCUCGGCCUCUGGCAAUCCUAGCGCUGCCGACAACCGCGCGGCGAGCGGCGGCAGCAGCCGCCACCGCCGCAGCAGCUUGUGGGGAGCCCCGCCGGCUCAGUCGCAACUCCAGCCUCCGUUGCAGCGGCACCGGGCCAGUGGCACGCACGUGGCGGCAGCCGCUGUGUUCCCCGAGGCAGGAGGGGACGACCUUGCUAUCCCCCGGGUGGCUGGAGACCGGUCGCCAGCCGCGGCCGACUGGGGCCUGGCUGGCGGUGCCGGUGCUGGGGCUGCACGGCCCGCCAGCAGCAGCAUCCGCCGCCAUGCAGCACCAAGCAGUCCCAGCGGUGCUGCUGUGGCAGCGAACAGCCUGGGCCUCGUGCGGCGCGGCAGUGGCCUGAUGGAGGCCCUGCAACGCAAGCUGCGUGGCGGCAGUAGCGGGCAGCAGCAGCAGCGUGCAGCGCCUUCCUCGCCGCCUGCCGCACUGCCUGUGUUACCUGCAGUCCAACAGAGCCAUCCGCAGCUGCACGUGAGUCGGACCAGCCUGGCCCUGGAUGCAUCAGUGCGCUCGCAGCAGCAGCAGCAGCCGGAUGCUCCAGCAGCAGCAUGUGCUGGAGCCACACCGGCGGGCAGCAACAGCAGCAGCCUCCAACCCGGUUGUGGCCGUGUUGCAGCGGCAGUGGCAUUGGCAGCAGCUGCAGGCUCUGGAGCCGGCAGCCUGAAUCUCCGCGCUGGAACCGGCACUGCUGGCGCCGGCGCCGGCCGAUCGGCUCCCCGCCGCAGCCGGACCUCCCAGGGUCUCAACAGCGGCGGGCACGGCACAGCGGCGCCCCACUCACUCUUCCUGGUGUCUCCUGGGUCCGCCGCAUCUGCCUUCAGCCGCUCCGGCCACCAAGGCAAUGCGCUGCGCCGGCGCUCCACCCUCAGCGCCAUGCUGCCCAGCCUGCAACACAUUCACCUGGUGGCCCAGCAGCAGCAGCUGCAGCAGAGGGCGCUGCUGGCGUCAAGUCCGGCGCUGUUCCUGGAGCAGGCGGCGGAGGUGGAGGCCGCAGUGGCGCCGCCGCCCACUGAGGCUCUGCUGGCGGCCAUGCGGCGGCGGCUGUCCACCGCCCUCACUUCGCACGAGGAGGGACAGCAGGCAAAGUGAGCGGGCUGGUAGGGGGAGCGGAGGUGCUUUCCGGGGUGUGCAACAGUGCAGCGUGCGGUAUGUAUGCUUGCGGCUGCUGAAUCGUAUGGCGUGUGCGCGGCUGGCGCCUGCAUCUAUGCUGGUGAAGGCUGAGUGUUUGCUCUUGUUCCUGCUACCCUGCACGCUGACAGGGCUGCUGUGAGUCAAGAUAUUGCGGCGUUGGAGCUGUUGGAGAUGCUGGGUAAGUCCACAAGGAGGCAGGUCGCAUUGUCACAGGCACGCAGCAACAGGGAGACGGCAGUCUCCUCUAGCGCUCCAGUAUGGCAGUUCGUGGCCCCUGCGACCAAAGCGGAUCGCCCUACCCGACAAACCCUCCUCACGCUCUGUAGCUAAACCUCACGAUGCUCAUCAAUCCGGAGUAACCAGUACCCUCUUGCAUUCGCACGUGCCUCGUCAGGCCACGGCGGCCAGGGUGUGGUGUUCCGCGGCACGCUGCACGGGCUAGAGGUGGCGGUCAAGGUGCUGGAGCAGAAGUCCCCCACGGCCGCAAAGGACAACUGCAAAGACAACCAGGCAGUGGCAGCGGAUGCAGGCGCCGAUGCCGCCGGAAAGGAAGGCGCGGAGGCAGGGGCGGAGGUGGAAGCGGAGGGUGUCGCAAGCAAGGAGGAGGAGGAGCUGGCACGCACGGUGAGUGGCUGGGGGCAGCAGGCUGUCAAGUGUGUGAAUGACAGUCAUGCAGUACGCGCCCACGUGUCGCAUGCAUGUGUGUUCACCGCGUGCUCGUCCGACUUUUCUCCCAAAUCAGCAUGUAGCCCACCGCCCACUCUUACCGCCCACUCUUACCGCCCCUCCUGCCCCCCCUUCCUGAACUAAUCAUGAAUGUAACCCCCCGCUGUCUCUGCUCAGGCCAAGCGCAGUGCUAUGGAGCUGGCGGUGGCCAGUGUGGUCAGGUGGGGGCAGGGGAUAGGGGGCGCGGCGGGAGGGCCCUGCCCUGCAGGAAGACGAAGACCUGCGAAGUUGUGGGUGCGAGAAGGGAGGCUAACAGUACGGUACAGCUGCCCCCGUAUCUACAGGAAGUCCUAGCCCCAGCACUGCUGCUCUCAUGCCCCGCCGCGUCGUCACACGGCCCCCACCCGCCAUGCCUUCACUGCCCCCGUGUGUGCCGUGCCACCCCCUGCCCGCAGCCACCCCUACAUCGUGCAGGUGUACGCAGCCUUCAGCGACGUGGCGGUGGUGCGGCACCGCGACGCCGCCGCAGAGGCCGUGCUGCGCCUGUGCGCGGCAGACGACCUGCGUGCAGUGGGCAUUGCGCCGGGUGAGCGCCGGGCGCCUCGCUACCCCAGCGCUGUGUGCGCAGUUCCCACCCAUGAAUGCACAGCUGCUGAUGGAGCAUUGCGGUCGUAUCACGAUCAUUAGGGCAGUAAUGUUUAACUGGCAGUAAUACGCAGCGCAACUUUGAACCGGUGUGUCGGGUGUCAAUGUGAACGUCCAUGCCCCUUCGCCCACCCGCCGCCCUCCACCCACCUGACAGACCCCAUCAACCAGGUCCUGUGCCUCGAGGUGCGUGUGCGCGGUACACCCGGCCCCAGCGAUGCACAGGCUGCUGGCGCACAUACAUUGUGGCGGCUUUUAGGGAGACCGGUGGAAGGCUUGCACUGUUGCAAUCCGCAUCCCUUGUGCUAAUGCCGGCCCGCACGUGCCUACCUGUCACAGCGAGUUUCCGUCUCUAGCCCGAACCUUUCCAGUUUGCUUAUAACCUCGCAAUCCGCCGUGGUGCAUGCGUGUUCCUUUGCAGUUUUGCGACUCGGGCUCCCUGGCAAGCAAGGUGCGCGCCGGCGCGUUCCACCAGCCGUGCGCCUCCAGCGCCGAGCAGGGCGCCAUGUGGCCGGCGCUGGUGCCCCUGUACACGAGCCUGCUGGAGGUGGCGCUGGCGCUGCGGCACAUGCACUCCAAGCGCCUGGUGCACUGCGACGUCAAGGCCGCCAACGUGCUGCUCAAGAGCUCGGCAAGGGACCCCCGCGGCUGGAGCUGCAAGCUGAGCGACUUUGGAUGGUGCGUGCGCGCGUGCGCAUAUGAUCAUACAAUGAUGCAGCACCACCGCUGUGUGGGCAGGGCGGCAGGCGUGGUGACGGUUGACUGCCGCAAGCGUAUGUUUAAGUUGCUUGGGUGCAAGUGCUGUGUGCUGCCCUGCAAUGGGCCUCGCCUCUUGUCUGCAAUACCCACCCAGUCAUCUGUACCGCCUCUGCCACGUGCUAACACCCCAUGGCCGGCCAUGUGCGCCGCUCGCUUGCUCCCUGCCCCGCAGCGUGCGUAUCCUGAACGAGGAGGGGCCGGACGGGCAGCCCGGCUUCCGGUCCGCGCACCCGCACGGCACCGUGCCAUACAUGCCACCUGGUGAGCGGGUGCGGAUGGACGCAGCCGUCAUCAUCAUGGGAACCCGCCUACCUUGUCCCGCGCUGCGCCAGCUGCCAGCUGCCAGCUGCCUGUUGCGCAGCGCGCGCAGGUCUUGCGUGCGCUUCUUGCGCAUGAGGGCCAUCACCUCAGCAGAACACCUGCAAUCGGGCUUGCCUGACAUUUUGCUUGGCCCGCUGCUGCGUACGUCAACCUCCUGCCUGCCGCGAACAGAGUGCUUCCUGGGCGCCCGCAUGCUGCUGGGCACCUCAGUGGACGUGUACGGUGAGUGCGACUGGGAACAGCUGCAUGCAUGUGUAUGUGGUGCAUGGGGCCGAUUGAUGUGGAGUAGCAGCCUCAUAGCGCCAGCCUGGUUAGCCCACUGCGCUCUUGGCUAACCAGCUGUUGCGGUUGCUGCUGCCUGUGUGCAUGGCUAUCGACGGUGCCUGUACCCCUGACAGCGUUUGGAGUGCUGAUGUGGUGAGUGCGCAGGCAGACACGCGGUGUCAUUUCCGCGCCUGACCUUCUGUACUGCUUUGCUUUGCUUGUCAGCUCUGUUGCUGUGCUUUUCCUGUUGACGUACGCACACGGUCUGUUCUCAGUACCAGCUCUGCCUUGCCUACUUAGUGCUGUCGCUGCUGACGUGGCUAUCGCUGCUGUCUGUUGUGUAAGGGCCACCCCUCUGACCUACCUCCUGCUGCGUGCCUGCUGCCUCGGUCUGCAGGGAGCUCCUGUACGCACGGACGCCUUUCAAGGGCAUGGAGAAGAAGGCAAGCCAUGGCGCGCGCGUGCAUUCCUGGCCAUCAGUGGUCUUACCAGGCGGGGUCUCACUACUACCGUGCUGGACUCUUUUCCUGCCUCACCUGCCGCCCGCUGCCCCCCAUCCACCACAGGACAUCGCCUUCCAGGUGGUCCACGCCGGCCUGCGCCCCGCCUUCCAGCCCCUGGCGCCGCCCGCCUACGUGCACCUGGCGGAGUGCUGCAUGGCGGCGCAGCCCCGGGCCAGGCCCACUGCGCUGGCGCUGGUGGCGGAGUUGCAGCAGCUGCUGGCGGAGGCGGUGGAGGCGGAGGGCGGCGGAGGGCGCGGCGUCUCCGUGGCGCUUGCCAUGCAGCUGUCUGCUGUGAGCUAGACUGAACGGUGGAAUCAUGUAGGUUACGCUGCAGGAUCCGGAGUAGUAGACCAGUGCCUAUCUACACAUGCAGUACUGUAGUAUGAUGGGCACUGCGGCAAGGCGGAGCACAUUGCUACUGUUGCGCUAGCUGUUUGUGAUGACAGCACCACUCGCUCAUUCGGAACGCGACUGCCCGCCACGGUACCUAGCACAUUGGGUGGUGCUCGGAUUCUCGCAAGCAAUGCGUGAGGCACGCUCAUGCAUCGAAGAAGCUAAGAGAUGCAUCGUGUUUGGGGCAGCAGUACAAAGACGACGUGACGUGCUUGUGUUGCAUAUCGAGUGCGCUACGCUUGCCUAGUGUCGGUCAGAUAAGACAGCGGCAGUACGGUGUGCGCGUGGGGAGCGCCGGAGAGCAUGCCUAGCUCAGCGCAAGCUCGCUGUUCUUCACAGCUUAAUUAUUGCGCAGUUAUCACAUGUACAGUUUAUUGUUAGUCUAUUGCGAAGUUAAGUUCUUCUGUUGAUGCUUUGCAACACGCGGAACAGUAUGGUGAGUGGCCAAGGCCCCAGGGGCUUGGGGUGUCGGGUUUGAAUGGGACCUCGAGCAUUGUCAUUCAUGCUGCAGUACCUCCAACUGCUAAGUAUGCAGUCUAUGGUGUGGUGCCAUUUGCAGACUUCGUGGGAAUGAGGGCGGAGCCAUUGGAUGCAUGUACUGGGGCUGGGGUCGGGGGCAACCAAGGGUAUACUGUCAUGGUGGAUGUUGUCAUGGUUGCGCGGGGCAUCGCCCAAAUGGCCCAAAUUGCGUAAUUCAGAACAGUAGGAUAGCAGGGUGUGUGAAUAUUUGUAAAAUAAUCAACAUGUGUGUGUGUGAGUUGGUGUGUGUGUCUGUGUGCAUGCGUGCGUGCGUGUGAGUGAGAGAGGAUACAUGAUGGAUAAAGUAUGCCAUGUGGCACGAGUGGGAGAGCGUGUGUGUGCAUCGUAUGUCGUAGUGAAGCGGGCACAGGGGCUAAUGGAACAGAACAAACCGCAGAUGUAGGGUGUGUUACAGAUCACAGCAAAGACUGAGUGGGUCAGCGGUGUGGGUCAGGGGAUCCCCUGGUGUGGGUGUUACGGCACUGUGCGUAUGUGCAGGGGUGUGCAUCCCCGCGUAUGUGCGCGUCAAUUUAUGUACACUUGCGCAGAUUUGGGGUAUCGGGUGCAAAGCACGUGCUCGGCCGGUCGACUCGUAUGUAUAACUUUCUCUGCUUAGGGUCUAGCAAGGGACGAGCCCUGCUGCCCCCAUGCUGUACUGCUGCUGCUGAUAAGGAUAUCACAAGGUGUGCAUCUUGGAGCCGUCCUUGUUGGCAGGCGCCGUGACUCCGUGAGGCCGUGUGGGUCUGGUUACCUCGGCUCCUUUGGGAAGUGCGGGCUGUCUCCCUCCCUCCCGCGGAAGCCCCGAUUGGCGAUUGCUCACACGAACCAAAUCCUGGGCGGAGGACUAUCCAGGGGAUUCGUAUUCUAGUGUCAGGGUCAGGAGGCGUUAGCAACGGAUUAGGUGCCUGGCUUGCGGUCAAGGCCGGACAGAACCAUGUAACCCACUGCCAUGCCCCCCUGUGCUUGUCACGAUCACUUUAGCAGGCUUCAGCUUCACACCGUACCCUGCAAUCGCAAGGUGGAGGGGUCGGGCAAAUUCCUGGGGUACGGGGCAAAAAGGCACAGGCGAGCUUCGCACUCAAAUAGCGUCCUUCAGUAGACUGCGUGCCCUGACCAGUGACCACACACCUACUACAGUGCCCUCCACGGGUGCGACAUGCCCCCACGGUGUCAGGGCCAUUCGUGGCUCUCGCCAGCACGCAUCACCGACCCAUGCAAACCGUGCAAACGGCACGCGGCCCGGCAUGUGCAAUGAGCUAGCAUGGAUAUCAGGAUCUGGUGGAUUCCUCUGAGCAGGCCGACGCAACCAUUUGGAAGGGCACUGUGGAUCUAGGUGGUACCGCUCGAGCGAGGCGAGCAAAGCCCAGAUCGGCCCCAGGCGCGUGUACCCUGGCGUACCCCGCGCCAACCGUACGUGGCGCCAACCGCUCAUAGGUAAAUGAAACGCCAGGACAUAGCAAAAGUUUCAAGAUUGACAAGCGCGAGAUUUUCUUCGCUGCUGUCCACCCUAUGGCUCGGUCGAAGGGAGGCGCAGGAGCAGCGGCAGCGGCAGUGUGAGGAGCUGACAGCGGCGGCCAUGGCCAAGCAGCGCGAACUGGAGGGCCUGACGGCCGCGUGUGAACGUCAGCGGCAGGAGUACACGGAAAAGGAGGAGCUGAUCGCGGCCAUGGAGGAGUACGUCACCCAGAAACAGACCAGUGGCAUGGCACUCCUCCGACAGCUCCAGACCGAUACGUCCAGUGCAGAGCAACAGCUGCAGCAGCUGCGCGGCCAGGUCGCGGCCGAGGCGCAGCGUCACCGGGAGGCGCAGGAGCAGCGGCAGCGGCAGUGUGAGAAGCCGCGCAACCUGAUGGAGCAGCUGCCGUUGCCGCAACAAAAGCCGUAUAGGCCCCCGCUCUUUUCCCGAUUCCUAUACCCUGAGGACCUGGAGGAGAUGUAGGAGCACUACUAGGCCUGACGGUGGUGGGUGACGGACGCUCAGUGGUGGGCCUGACGGGCGCUCAGUGGCAGUGUUGGGUACAGUUUGCUUGCGCCGCGAAAUGUGUGAGGCUGGGUGAUGCGUGCUGGGUGAGGCUGGGUGAUGCGUCGGAUGUGCAGGUGGAGAAGUAGGUGAAAUUUAACAAUGAUAUGCGCCAAGGGACAUGGGCGCUGAGGGAGGCUGGGUGAUGGGUGGUGCUGGGUGAUGCUGGGUGACGCUGGGUGAUGCGUGCUGGGUGAUCGUGCUGUCAACGAAGCAGCUUAGUUUCGCGGGUAACUGCGGGUAACUGUUUACAACUACCAGGUGCUCGCCACGCGAGGCGCAAUCUCACAAGUUAAAAGAGGUCUGGCUGACUCAUUGAGAGAAUUAUAUAAUUGUGAGCAAGCGCGAAAGUCUGACCGCAAACCCGGCUUGGCCUCGUGGUCUGCGCGCUCCCCUAAUCCCCUAAAGUCUUGCGACCGCGCAUUCUCAAUAUAUAUGAGUAUCAUACUCGGCGACGUACUGCCACACGGCGCCAAAAUGCAGCCACACUUGGAGCUCGCCGACGACGUUCUGGACCGUAUCUUCUUGCACCUGUCUCCAAAUGAGCUGUCGUCCAGUAUCCGGCUUCUGAGCAAGAGCUGGGCUGCCCGAUACGCAUAUAUGACCCACAUCAGCCUACGUGUCGCGGUGCCGCGCCAUGCCUUCCGCUGGCGCUUCACUGUCGCCAUUGCAGCUGCCCUGCCGCUGCGCACCCGCCGCGAGCUCCUGUGCGCCACGGCUGCCUCCGGGGACGUCUCCAACCUAGAGCAUGCGCUGGAGGUGACGGGGCUGGACCUGGGUGCCGCCGCCACCGCCACUGCCCUGCUGGCCGCGGCAGCUUGCGCGGAGCCGCCUGGCGGCAUGGCGGUGACGGCGUUCCUGCUGCACCGGAUGGGCCGCAGCCAGCAGCACCAGCAGGACACGCGGUCAGGGUGGCUGGGACAGCUGUGUCAGAGGUGUCACGCCUGGUGCAGUUCUGGCUCGAAAGCAUCACUGGUUGAGGUGGUCGAGCCCGCCCUGUGCGCGGCGGCGGCGGCAGGAUGGAAGGAGUCGUGCGCGCUGCUUCUGGGCCGGCUCAUGGGAGGUGGGGCCGGCCAGUGCAGCUCAGCGGACACGGAGGGUCAUGGAGAGGAGCUGAUCGAGGCGGAGACGUCCGCACAGAUUCCAGACAUAGGCCGCCGCCAGCAGCAACCGCUCGUGCUGCCGACAACAAUAGCACUUAGUCGGCACAUUGGGAAGGCAGUGCUGGCGGCGCUGCGAGGCGGCCACCUGCCGCUGGCGGCGUUGCUGCAGGAGCAACAGCACCAGCUGCACCAGGGGCGCCGGCCGCAGCUGCAGAGGCUUCAGUCUCAGGCCGCAAUGGUGGAGGUCGCUGCUAACACUGCUGCCGCAAGCGGGGCGGCUGCAGGUGACGGCGCGAUGGCAGCAACAACCGGUGACGAGUGGGCGGCGCUGCUGGAGGCUGCGGCGGCUGGCCUUGCGCUGCGGCCGCUGCAGCUCGUGGUCCUGUGCGGCGGCGACCUGCGCAAAGCUACAGCGUGGGUGCAGGAGCAAACCGCCCAGAUGACAGAUAGCGAGCUAGCCGCGGCCGCAGCUGCAGCGGCGGCGGCACACACACGCCAGCUGGCUACCUGGCAGCUAUCAGCUGUGGUGUCUGCGGCUGCGGGCAGCCUGCAGGCUGUGGGGUCAUGGGCUGACAAGCUGGACUGGCUGACGACAGAGCCGCCGCGGGGCCUAGGCUUCCCGCGCCCUGCUGCUGCAGCGGUAGCAGUCGUGGCGUCUGCAGGCAGCGGGAUGGAGGCGGCUGAGGUGGCGCUGCAGCGGCUGCAGUGGCUGCGUGGUGCUGGAUAUCCACUCGAUCCCAGGGUAGUAGUGGGGGCUGCAGCAAGGCGUAGUGAUUUGCGCCUACUGGAGGCAUUGCUGCGAGACCCGAGCGGACAUGUGCGCCCGGGCCGGGAGGCGGCGUACGCGGCGGCGGCUGCAGCCGCCAGGACUGCAGUGCUACCGCCACCAGCGGAUGCUACUGAUGCUGUUGGUGAGAUGGAAGGCGCGUAUGGCCACGGGCAGGUGGCUUGUGGCAUGAGCAAAGUGAGUGGCGUGCCGGCACUGCGGCUGCUGCACAAGUACGGUUGUGCCAUUGAGCCGUACGGCACCCUGCUGGUGGCGGCGGAGUCUGGCGACCUGGCCGCGGUGCGGUGGCUGCUAACGGGCCAGCAGGACGAGCAGGAGGCCCCAGAGGAGGGCGGCGAGCACAAUAGGGGCGGUGCCACAACUACCUCCCCGGUAGCGUCGCAAGUCCGGCUGGACGCGGAGGUGAUGGGCGCUGCGGCGAGCUCAGGUGCGUGAGGGUCCGAGACGUACCGUAGUGUAAUCUGCCAGAAUGUGCCAAGCAACCACCACCAUUCUUGAGCUGCUCCCCUGACGGCUGACACGCUUGCCCCGCCACCCGCCAGGCCACGUGCCGCUCAUGUCCUGGCUGCUGCGCCGCCGCGGCUGCGCCAUGGACAGAGACACCUUCCGUCGUUGCGCCGCGGGCGGCAGUGUAGCGGCGCUGCGGUGGCUGGCGGCGGCUGGCUGUGACAUUGGGGUGAGCAUCCGCACCAGGAAAGGCUGGGAGCAACGGCAGACUGCCGCGCGCGAUCCCGGGUACUCUGUGUUUGCAGUUGCGGAUGCACAUACGCCCCCUCUUGCUGCGGCUGCCCGCGCAGGACGACGGUGGUGCCUACGCCGCCGCCGCCGGCCAGGGUGACCGCCUGGUGGCCGCCGCCCUGCAGCAGCUGGGCUGCCGUAGGCCUGCAGGCGCCGAAGGGGCGAACACCGCCACGACGACAGGCUAUGCCAGGAGCGGGGGCAUGCGCCUCAGUGGGGGCGCAGGGGGCUACGGCGUGCGGCCUCCCUCUCUGGCCUAGAUCGGCACAUAAGGUUAUGGGUUGUAGCAACUAGGCGAUUUUCGUGCUCGUCAGCAGCUCGUGGCUUCCCUUCGCUCGCCCCGCGCAGAGUGGUGAGGCGCGUCGCCGGCGGCGUAUGUAGGACCUCUACGCGUGCCCCUUCGCGCGGGCCUUUGCCUGCCUGGCAACAAUGCGUAUCCGCAUUGGGCUGUAGGCCUGAGGCCUUCGUAAACAGUUUGUUUACCCUGCAAAUACUAGCUCUGGCAUGUGUAGAAGACUCGAGUGGAUGCGUAGCACCAAUGCUGUGACACGUUGCUCAAGGUGGAACGUGUUAGCUUCAGCUUUAACGCUUUAGCUUGCAGUUCCUGGUGGCUGUUGGAUACAACACGGUGUUUGAGCAUGUAUUCCCGCCGGCCCGGAGUGUGCACCAAGUUGGUAGAACCGGUUAAGACCCAGAACCAGUUCAGAGCCGCCCACAUGCUAGGUGUGGCGUACGUGCAGAGCCAGAGCGCACAACCGAAGCGCGCCUGAUUCACCACAAAGACACAAGUAACAUGCAGCUUUGGUACAACUGUCAAAACAUGCCCUGAAUGUCACAGACGUAUAAUAACAAGGAGGUGGCUGCCUUAGGGAGGCAGGAAAAGGGCUGAGCCCUCCCCUCCCGGGUCGUUAUCAACCCAGCCACCUUGACGCGGGCGCCUACUAAGCACACGCCUCUAUGUUGGGGGCCUUUGGCAUCCCCGCAAAUCCGGACGUGGCCGGUUGGGUGGGGUGCACAGUCCGUGCUAACCCGCAGCUAACAAACUAGUCACGUCACUCGCCGCCAAUCGACACGUGCACCCUCAGCCCCACGCGCCGUUCAGGCUCUCAGCCCGGCCCCGCCGCCGCCGGCGGCCAUGGCGGCCGCUGCAGCUUGGUCGGCCGCUCGAAGCCCAUCAGCUUCAGCAGGAGGAGCACACGGAUCACUUUGGCGGCACAGCAGCCGCCUUCCGUCAGCCAGCCAUGGGCGCGACCGGCCACAGCUUUUACCGUCGGUUACGAGGUAACAUGUGAAUUCGCAACUUGCGCUACUGACUGCCUACUCUCGUGCCGCCUGCAAGCCCACUCCGCCUUCCGCUCUGGUCUGCGUACGCAUUAGUUCCGCAACACUCGUCAUUAAGCUACCUAGGCCACUUUCGGCUCGCUCGACAUCAGUCAACCAUCCGCCGUCAUUGCAUCGGCAGGCCUCUGUCGAGCCUGGUUAUGCAAUUGAUCCCGCAAAACGGAACUUACUGACAAGUGUUGUGCUGCGCAGGAUGGCCAAGGAAAGGGUCCCGGGGGGGGGGGGUCAGUCUGUCUGGGACGCGCAGGCUGGGGGUGGUUUCGUGCCACCAAUAUGCACAUGCAAACUCCGGUCUGGCGCUGGACAUGAGCGAUUGACUCAACCAAUUUAACCAAUACAUCUGUUGCUUAGUGAAGUCUGCCUGUUGUGCCGACACGCAGCACUUGUGAAGAAGCACCCGCAAAUAGACAAGAAGACCGCGCGAGCGUGCUGCUUACUUCAUUGCUGCAUAUACUGUACGUAGCAUUGCUGUGUAUACAUACAGGAGCCCUUACAGGAGUCCUCGACAGUUUGAGGAAAGCAAACUGCCUGUUUCGAAACGAGUAUGAGCACGAGGCAGUAGAGGCGCAUAGUCGAAAGCCAUGCGGACCGUCGUUGCUUGGCAGGAGACACCUGUAAGUCUGGGCGGGUAGUUCCACUGCGAAGGCCAUGUUGCCUUCGCGCGGCCCAGAGCCGGCCUCGGCUGACCCUAAGCCUGCCGCUUGAUCGCAGCCCGAAAAGGACGGCGUACGCAACGUCUGCUACGACCUCUGCUUUAAGCCAGGUGCGGAGGAAAAGCCAACAUGCCGGACCGUCAACGCGACCGACCUUGCUGGGAACGGGAUGUUGACCACGGCUUCAUACCCUAUUACAAUUGCAGAUGGCUCGCAAGUUGUUGCGGGCAUUGGGAACCGUGUGCUGGUCUACGAUGCUGCGGAUGGCGACCUUCUGCACGCGUUGAAGGGCCACAAGGUCAGUGGCCUGUCAUGUCCACCCAUCACAUAUUUGAGCUGUACGUAAAGCGAAUAACCGGGUCUCUGGGCACUGCAGGACUCGAUUUACUGCGUCGCGUAUGCCCAGAACGGAAAGCGCUUUGCAUCGGGAGGCGCGGAUAAGACGGUCAUCAUCUGGACAAGCAAGGUGAGUGGAACCAGAAGGUGGGGGUGGGGGUGGGGGGCCUGGGGGUCAGGGAGGCAGCUGGGCUCCCGCGUGCGGUGUUGCCUAGACUCAGUGCGCGUGUGGAUGUGUAUGCUGAGUCUGAACCUGCUUCCGGGCCUCUUAUCACACAAACAGGCGGAGGGCAUUCUGAAAUAUACGCACAACGAUGCGAUUCAGUGCCUGUCUUACAACCCAGUCACCCAGCAGCUGGCCAGUGCCACCGGCUCGGAUGUGGGCCUGUGGUCACCGGAGCAGAAGUCUGUGGCGAAGCACAAGGUGUGGCACUUAGAGCUGUGGCAUCUGCUUGUCACAGUGCGAGCGGGGAAUGAGCUGGGGAUACAGUUUGAGGUGCAGGGGCUUGGGGCAGGCGGCUCAGGACAGCCUGGAAACGGCAGAGUGCGGCAUUGGGGCGGAACAGCGCUUUGCCGCGACUCGCUGGUGGGGCGGAAUUUACCAGCCACACAUGGAGAGGGCCCUCAACCUCUGGCCCCAUCCUUGGCCGGAGCACAAGCUCAGCGUGGAGGCGCCGUGUCUGGGCGCAGAGCCAGCUCGCGUAGAGACGGGAAUUGACGGAGGCGCCGUGUCUGGGCGCAGCAUGCCAGCUCGCGUAGAGACGGGAAUUGACGGAGCAGCAGCCCCCCCACCAGUGGGGGCGUACCCGCAGAGCUGUCUGCGCGGUCUCGGGCAGUCACGGCCAGACCGUCUGUGGCAGUAGUGGCCGCGCUGGUGUACCCGAGUUUGCCUUGAGUGCGAUGCUCAGCUCGCAUGAGCCUGUGUACCUGCCGCACUCUGCACCUCGCUGCAUUCCUUGGGACCCUUACCGCUGGGAAUCAUGCUACAACCACAUGCACAGGUGGCCUCGCGCAUCUGCUCCAUCUCGUGGACUGCGGACGGCGCCUACCUGGCGCUGGGCUGCUUUGACGGUGUGAUCAGCAUUCGCGACAAGGGCGGCAGCGAGAAGCACCGCAUUGAGACGGGGCCGUCGCCGGUGUGGAGCAUCUGCUGGAACCCCGUGGUGCGUGUGCGUGCGUGUGUGUGUGUGUCUGUGUGUGUGUGUGUGUGUGUGUGUGUGUGUGUGUGUGUGUGUAUGUGUGUGUGUGUGUGUGUGUGUGUGUGUGUCUGUGUGUCUGUGUGGAGGGCGAUUGGGGCUGUCCUCGGGGAGGACCGGCCGCACGUGAAUGGCGCAGGAGGGCGCAUUGCGGUUGCAAUUGGGCAUUCCCCAAGCUGCUGAGGGUACGAGCGUAGGGUCGGGGCAACAUCAGCGCAAGCAGUGAGGGUGGGAAAGCGGUGUAGCAGCAUGGAAAUGCAGCGAAGGGCUAAGUUUGCAGAAUGGCAGCUCAGCGGGCGGAUCUGACGGCCGUGCAUUGCUUUGCUGCAGGAGACCAACGUGCUGUGCGCGGGUUGCUUUGACGGCGUGCUCAAGUUCUACAUGAUGAGCGGUCAGCAGAAGAGCAAGGACCGCGAGCUGGCGUUCGACCCGCUGUGCGUUUCCUACUUCAGCAGCGGCGAGUACAUCACCGUCAGUGGCACGGACAAGUAAGAUAGUCUGUUGUGCGGACGGCGAACGCAACAAUUAUAAGUGGUGUGGUGCAGGCGACCGGGGCGGCUCAUCACGACACUGUGCUUCAUAUGCCCACACACCCGUACAUGCUGACACCACCGGAUCACCUGUGUCACACAAACACUCACGUGUGCAGGACGGUGCACCUGUACACGCGCGACGGCACGUACCUGACCAAGAUUGCGGACCGCGACAGCUGGGUGUGGGCGGUGCGGCCGCGGCCCAAGCACAACUUCGUGGCGGUGGGCACGGAGGGCGGCGGCAUCGCCAUGUUCCAGCUUAUCUUCUCCACAGUGCACGGCCUAUACCAGGACCGGUACGCCUACCGCGACCAGAUGACGGACGUCAUCAUCCAGCACCUCAUCACCGAGCAGAAGGUGCGGCUGCUCAUGCGCCUGGUUGGUUGGCUCCUACUUCGCUACCGCUGGGUGCAGCCUGAAGGGAGGUCCCAUCAUGGUACGCCCUCGCACUGGGUCGGCGCUUACCUGUGUCAAUGCUGUGUGCCCCCACAUCCCCAUGCAGGUCCGCAUCAAGUGCAAGGACUACGUGAAGAAGAUCGCGGUGUACAAGGACAAGCUGGCGGUACAGCUGCAGAACAAGGUGGUUAUCUACGAGCUGGCCAACGCCGACGACUUCGACAUGCACUACCAGUCCGCCACCAAGAUCCAGCAGAAGCUGGACUGCAACCUGCUGGUGGUCACCAGCCACCACGUCAUCCUGUGUCAGGUGCGGCGUCGUGACGGUCGAAUGCACGGCCGCGUGCUUGGAAGAUCUGGUUGAUUGAAUGCGCUGUUGCUGCCAGCCUCGCAUUGGCGCGCAUGCUCAUGUGCCCCCGCCCUGUUCUUAUUUGCCGCCUUGCAGGAGAAGAAGCUGCAGCUGUACAACUUCGACGGCGUCAAGGAGCGCGAGUGGGUGCUGGACAGCGUCAUCCGCUACAUCAAGGUGGUGGGCGGGCCACCCCGCCGCGAGGGCCUGCUGGUGGGCCUCAAGAGCGGCGCCAUCCUCAAAAUCUUUGUGGACAACCCCUUCCCCAUCCCGCUCAUCAAGCACACCGCCUCGGUGCGCUGCCUGGACCUGUCGGCCAGCCGCAACAAGCUGGCGGUGGUGGACGAGAACGCCAAGGUGCUGGUGUACAAUCUGAUCACCAAGGAGCUGGUGUUCGAGGAGAGCAAUGCCAACAGCGUGGCCUGGAACAGCGAGUUCGAGGACAUGUUCUGCUACAGCGGCAACGGCAUGCUGUCCAUCAAGACCGGCGACUUCCCGCUGCACCAGCAGAAGCUGCAGGGCUUCGUGGUGGGCUUCAAGGGCAGCAAGAUCUUCUGCCUGCACUACGUGUCCAUGCAGACCAUCGACGUGCCGCAGUCCGCCUCCAUGUACCGCUACCUGGAGCGCAAGGACUUCGAGUCCGCCUACCGCGUGGCGUGCCUGGGCGUCACCGAGGCCGACUGGAAGCAGCUGGCGCUGGAGGCGCUGCAGGCGCUGAACCUGGAGGUGGCGCGCAAGGCCUUCAUCCGCAUCCGCGACGUGCGCUUCGUGGAGCUGGUCAACCGCACCGAGGCGGGCCGCAAGGCCGGCACCAGCGAGCAGCUGCUGCUGGCGGAGAUCAUGGCCUUCCAGGGCCGCUACCAGGAGGCGGCGCGCCUGUUCACGCAGGCGGGCGCCGUGGACCGAGCCAUGGAGAUGUUCUCUGACCUGCGCCAGUUCGAUGAGGCCAAGAAGUGGGCGGAGGAGUUCGCGGCCAGUGGGCGCGGCGACCAGCGCAGCGUGCAGGAGCUCAUCAACCGCCAGGCGGAGUGGAGCGAGGAGGUCAAAAACUACGACGCCGCAGCGGAGAUGUACAUUAAGGUGCGGCAGCUGGGGGGACUGGCAAAGGGAUGGAAUUCAUGGGACAGUGGAGCCCUUCUCGAGUAUGUUGGGUUGUAGGCCGAUCGAGUCUAUCUCCCUCACCUUUGUUCCCUUCGUGACGCUUAACCCGCACGCACCUCUACAGGCCAAGAAGUACGACCGCGCCAUUGCCAUCCUGGCCAAGCACCAGUGGUGGGACAAGCUCAUUGGUGUGGUGCGACAGCUGGACAAGACGGACGCGCGCUGCCUGGGCAUGUGCGCCGGCCACUUCCGCCGCGCGCCGCACUUUGCGUACGCCAAGGAGACGCUGCUCAAAAUGGACGACACCAAGGUGGGCGCUGGGGGCGCAAUCAACGGGUAUGAACGCGCACCGACCGCCGAAUGUUCAGCCGGGUCACUGACUAAUGCCUUGGUGCUACCCACCUGCCCUGCCGCAAAUCGUCCCCGCAGGGCCUGAUCACGCUGUACGUGGAGGCUGAGAAGUGGGAUGACGCCUUCCUGCUGCUGCACGCGCACCCCGAGUGCCGGCAGGACGUGUACCUGCCCUACGCCAAGUGGCUCAGCAACCAGGACCGCUUCGAUGAGGCGCGGCUGGCGUACCAGGAGGGCGGCUUUCCCAGCCUGGCCACCCGCAUCCUGGAGCAGUUGUGCGCCAACGCGGUGGUAGAGACGCGGUACGCGGACGCCGCCUUCUACUACUAUCAGCUGGCCAUGGAGGCGCUCAAGGUGGGUGAGGCGCUACAGUAGGGAGGUAGAGGGAGGCACCCGCGCAUGCCCGGUGCUCAUGAGGUUACCCGUCCGCGCUGUCCGUUCCUCUCCCGCCUCAUCAAACAACACACCCAUCCCUUCGGACCUGCGCCCGCCGUGUCCCCACAGAGCAUCAAGAACCCGCCCUCCAACAUGGCGCCCUCGGACCGCUCCGCGCUGGAGCGCUUCACGGAGCUGUACGACCGCGCCGAGGUGUACUACGCCUACGAAGUGGUGCACAAGUCCGUGCACUCGCCCUUCCGCACCACGCACCCCGACACGCUCUUCAACGCCUCGCGCUUCCUGCUCAUGCGCCUGCUGCCGCCGCGCGAGGUGCCGCUGGGCGUCAGCGUGGUCAACGUGGUGUACGUGCUGGCCAAGCAGGUGAGGACGGACAGGUGCAGGCAGGAUGCAGGGGCUCAUGGUGGAGCGUGGGGCGGGGCAAGCCGAGGGUGGGCCCGAGCAUCUGCCUGUGUUCUCCCUGAAUUGUCAAUUGACUGAAAUCCCUUGCCGUCGAUCUUGCCCUGCACCCAGGCUGUCGAGGCGGGCGCCUUCAAGCUGGCGCGCUUCGCGUACAACAAGCUGCAGACGCUGGUGCUGCCGGCGGCCUGGCAGGCGGAGGUGGACCUGGCAUCCGUGGUCAUCCGCUCCAAGUGAGUGCAGGGCCUGGGCCGGAGGGGAAGUAGCCUGGUUGGGGGCAAGCACAGGGCAAGGCGGGGUUGGGGGAUGAGGCGGCAGGGGGCCCUGCAGUACCGACCGUACCAGCGCUCAAGUUGCCCACCGCUCCUGCUUGCCCUGCCCCUCUGUCACAGGCCUUUCUCAGACAAGGAGGACCUGCUACCGGUGUGCUGGCGCUGCUCCACCACCAACCCGCUGCUCAACACGCAGGGCGACUACUGCAUCAACUGCGGCGCGCCCUUCAUCCGCUCCUUCGUCACCUUCGAGCACCUGCCCGUGGUGGAGUUUGAGCUGGAGCCGGGCGUGGACGACGAGGAGGCGGGCCGCCUGCUGGGCGAGGACGCGGGCAUGGAGGCGGCGCGGCGCGAGCGCAAGGCGGAGCGGCAGGCCAAGGCGGCGGAGGUGGGCGGCAACAUGCUGCGGCUGGACCAGAACGAGAUCGACCGCAUGGACGACGCCUUCGCGGCCCAGAUGAUGGUGCCCAACACCACCAUCCGCGUGGACCGGGCCAUGCUGCGGCGGCUCAAGACGGCCGAGGUCAUGGUGCGCACCUGGCCCAACCCCGUCAUCCCCAAGCAGUACUUCCGCGUCAUGGACCAGGAGGUGCCGCUGUGCUGCGGACCCUGCGGACACUUCUUCGAGCAGGUGCGUGCCGAGAUAAGCGGCUAGGAGUACAUCAGUACUGGUGCUUGGCAAAGCGGGUGAAAAUGGGGGUGCUUGCAGAAAUUGUUCACACGGGCAAUCUUCACUUACAGUGCACGUUACUCUUUUUGUGCGCACUGUCGCUCACACCUGUCCGCUUGCGCCCUUCCCUCUGCACAGGAUGAGUUCGAGAUGGCGGCGCUGGAGCGUGGCACGGCGCCCUUCAGCCGCACCACCGUGCGCGGCGAGGGCCUGGCGCCGGGCGAGGACGCCGAGGAUGAGGGUGCCGGCGGCAACAAGCUGGGCGGGCCGUUGGGCAGCGCGCGUGGGCCCAUUGGGGGCGCCAGCAAGGCGCGCAUGUCCGUGCCCUUCCAGCAGGGCCGGCCGCUGGUGUGAGCGGGGUCGCCUAUCGGGCGCUUACCGGGUGCGUGGGUGGAUUCCGGAUGUAGGCGGGGAAUAGGAGCUGCCGGUAGUGGCGUUGCAGCAGGCCUUCGUUACGCAGCAGAGGGGGCACGAGGAGGACGUGAACGGGUGUCUUCAUGCUGCUUGUGGUCUGACUUGGUAGGACGGGCGUUGGUGCCAUCAUUAGGCUGCCCCUGCCGGUCCACCAUAGGAGCUGCGAUGGGCCUGAAGCAAGGCCCAUGCACGGUGGCCGGGCACAUGAUGCAUGACGGGACAGAGCACGGGACUUGCUGGAACCAGUGUACAUAUGCCCGCGCAGAGACUGCGUGUCUCGAAGCGGGCACAAAUUGGGACAUGUCGGCGUACAGACAAACGAUGAUGAUGACAGGAUGACAGUUGUUGUGCGGCAGGGGGGCUCCCAAGCCCAGUUGAGGCCCAGGCAGGUUUGGUUGAAUGGGGAUGCACAGUGGCAGUGCUAAUGCGCUGGCGCUAUGAGCGUCCAUGGUGUUGGCGGCCUCAAGUACAAGACACCUUAUAGUAGUUCAAUCUGCCCCGCAAGGUCUUCCCGUGCUGCUGAACCUGGCUAGCACGGUUUCCGGAGUCCGGGCCACUGAGGUCCGUAUCCUUCGCUGGGUCAGGGGAGGCGCUAGUGCAGCCAAGGUGCUACUGUGGUAACUGUGCUCUCCGCAGUGUCCGCACACUGCUGCACAGAGUGGCAGAGGCACAGCGCCACAGCCGCGCAAUUGCGUCAAGCCGUUUUAGUUCUCGGCCGUCUUUGAGGGGAUAAGGAGGAGCGUUGGCUAUGCAGCACAGCACAAAGGCAACCGGGGAGCAAACAAUUACUAACAACUGCUGCUGUUGUUACUUCAGGCUGUGGGUUGAAUUGUGGAUGCCGCGGCGCCGCCGACAUGCCGGGCUCACGGACCGGCCACAUGCUGGAACCCGUUUGCCGAGGCGUCAGAGCUGUGCAAGAGGCGGCCAGGCGAACAACUAGAGGCUGGCCGUAAAGCUGGGCCGCUGGUAGUUGACGGGGCACAGUGCCUGUUUCCGUGCCUGUUUCCAGCUUGCGUUUCCUGUUAUGAACCCGUAUGUACCGGGGAUGCCCCUCCCAGCGUGUGCGGGUCCCAUUGUCAUGUAGUGCUGUAUACCGCCAAUUGGGGCGAGGGAGGUUGCGCAAAAGCAGACAGGUAAGGGCUGGUGGCAAGGCGGGGGCUUGGCGCAAGGCUUGGCGUGGCCGAGGUGGCACUUCGGUCGCUUUUGAGCCGGUGACUGGUUACUGUACGCGGCCUGCUCUUUGCUCUCUCCACCGCUUUCAGGUUCAUCGCCCCGUGCCAGCUCGAGCCAGCUGCCCAGCUCAGCCUGGGUUGGGACAGGUUGGGAUCAUUGGUGUGAAAGUGCGAUUCGACUCGAUUGCGAAUACACCUCUCAGCGCAGGAACCCAUCGAUAGGCAAACGUAUAUAUCCUUAAACAAACAGCAGCACUCAAGCUCCGUAAAGCUUCGCGCCGCCCUCCCGCCAGUGAGAGUUUUUGCUCGGCUCUGCGCCGAGUUUGUUCCUCUCGCGGCGGGGGAUGGCGUCUAGCGGAGAUGUGGCGCUGGCCUUUGGGCUGGUGAUUGCCGCUGGUGAGGCGAGGCGGGGGUCCAAACCGCGCGGAGACUGCAUGGACCAUCACUGGCUUCCGCGCGCUCGUCCCCUUGCAUCUCGCACCUGCCUACCUAAUACUCCAAGCACAUGAUGCAAUGAUCAAGUUAAACAGCACAGCAUGGCAGGUUGCCUACAUCUCCAGUUCUGCUCGGCUGCGUGCCAGUUGGCUACUGCGCUGUUGCGGCCAUGGUCCUGGCCCCUCGCCUCAGUGCGCCCCUUGCCUCCCUCUGCCCGACUGCACUCCCCUCCCUCCUCAGGCCUGUGCACCUGCCUGGGAGCCGCCAUCGCCUUCUGCGUCAAGGUGUCUGACACACGCAUCCUGGCGGCGGCACUGGGCGUGUCGGCAGGCGUCAUGCUGUGAGUGGCCGAGUCGUGCGCGGGCGCGCGGAGGGGCGGGAGGCGGGGAGGGGGAAGGGGCCAAGGGGCCAUUAGAUUGUAAGUUCCCAAAGUGGUUAGGCAGCGGUCAGCGCAUGAUGUACAUAAUGGGUCUGGAAUGGUCUUUGCCGCGGGUGCCUGCCUGCAAGGGCGGAUGCGCUGGGUUCUGCCAGACUGCCUGCACUGAGAAAUAGUGCCCCGUCCACACUUGUGCGCUAGCAUACUGCGUUGCAGUCAUGCUCCCGUAAUGGACCGGCCCACGCCAUGGCAGGUUGGCUCGCCAGCUGCCCUGCUCCUACUCCUUUUAUUAGGCUGGGCCUGCCCCUAACACACGCACACACACACACACACGCGCGCACACACACACACACACACACACACACACACACACACACACACACACACACGCACACACACACACACACAGGUAUGUGUCAUUUGUGGAGAUCUUCACCACCAAGUCCAUUAAGGGGUUCAUGGACGCAGGAUACAGUGACAAGAGUGAGUGGGCGGCGGGGCAUUAUGGGGCAGCGGGGCACUGCUGCUUGAUGGGGUAGGAAGCGUAAGUGUAUGAUGUGGUGGUGGUGGUGAUGGUGGUGGUGAUGGUGGUGGUGAUGGUGAUGGUGAUGGUGGUGGUGCUGGUGCUGGUGCUGGUGCUGGUGGUGGUGGUGGUGGUGAUGGUGGGUGGGGGCUGCGGUGCGCGCGCGGGCGAGCCGGCGUCAGGGGUAGUGAGGCUGCGCACCCGGAGGCUACACAGGCUCCAGCGAGGCGGGUUGGGGGCUCUAGGGUUGAUCCCAGGUCAGCACGGCGUUAGCUAACAUGGACACCCCGUGCGCGUGUCUUCGUAUUUAAUGUGUAUUUUAUAUAUGAUGUCACGUCAACCCACCCUUCCGCGCUGUCUCCACCCCCAACCAGGCGCCUACCGCUACGCCACGCUGCUGUUCUUUGGCGGCAUGGCCGUCACCUGGUGCCUCAAUCAGCUCGCGCACGGCCUGCUGCACCUGGCUGCAGCCAGCCAGGCAGCCAGGAAGCGGCGGGCGGGCGGAGGCGGCGGCGGAGGAGGAGGCACCUGCGGCGGAUGCUGCCCUGCCGGCCUAUGGCUGCGGGGUGGCGGCUGGGGAUGGCGCGGCGCUGCAGCGGGUGUGGACGUUGGCAAGCAGGUGGGUGGGCGCUGCGGCAAAAGCUGUUGACCUCGUGGGAGGGGUGUCGUAGCCUCCCCACCCCCACUGCCAACCACGCCGCCUCGUGUGUGUGGCUCUGUGUGCUGCUCCCCGCUUGCAGGACGACGACACUACCCCGCCCAGCCGCCAGCAGUCCGCACUGCCUGCAGCCCCUUGCUCACAGCACCUGACCGCCCCUGCCAUUGCUACUGCGGAUGCACGCGUCGGCACCGAUGCCUGCAGCACCAGCAGCAGCACUCACGGCCCCAGCUGCAUGGCCCCCGCCCCCUCCGACGCGCCAGUCACAGUGCUGGGACUCACCGCUCCCGCGCCCGCUGACGUGGAGGCUGGCAGCGCCGGCACCGGCAUCACCCUGGCUGGCCCCGCUGGCACUGACCUGGAGCGCGAGGUGGUGGCGGUGCUGGUGGCGGCAGACGACCCACGCGACCACUCCCAUGCCCAUGGCCACACCCACAGCAGCCACCUGCACAGGCGCAGCCACGGCCUGCCCAUGUGCGUCUGCGGCAGCAGCUCCAGCCAUGGCGCCGUUGCUGCGGCCGCCACUCCGCCCUCUGACCUCACUCGCGACCCCGAGGCCUCAGCCGGCAGCCCCCCGGGUGGCGGCGGCGCUGCCUCCGAGACGCUGACAUCUUCCCAUAACCAGCUGACUCAUCUUGGCCUACUGAGCGGUCUGGCAGUGGGCAUCCACAACUUUCCUGAGGGCCUGGCCACCUUUGUGGGCACCCUGGCAGACCCCACCGCCGGAGUGGCCAUUGCGGUCGCCAUCGCAGUGAGUGCAGGGGCGCCUUAGGUGGGGUUGGCAGGGGCGUUAGCGAUCAGCGGAUGGCAGGUGGCAGGUGAUUGGUUUGUGGCUGGGCAGCCCGGCCAUCUUGUGCCAAAUGUUUUGGUUCUACCGUAUCCGAUUCCUUGUCCGCGGCCCCACUGCUUCCUUGUCUGAUUAAUCCUCCUGCCCUCCCCUCUCCCACCUGUUAUGUGUGCCCUGCAGCUGCACAACAUCCCGGAGGGCAUUGUGGUGGCCAUGCCCAUCUACUUCGCCACCGGCUCCAAGUGGAAGGGUGGGUAGAAGGGGGGGGGGGCGGGGGGGGGGCGCGGAAAGCAAGGACUGGGCGGCAAUGCUCACGCGGCAGCAGGUUCCGCAGCACACCAAGCACCGCAUUCCGUGUUUACCCUGCUCGCCUGGACCACCGGCGCAACCCCCCGCCGCCGUCAUUUGCCGCUGCUGCCGCCUGGUGCGCAGGCUUCCUGUGGUCUGUGGUUUGCGGCCUCUCUGAGCCGCUGGCCGGACUGCUGGUGAGUCAUCACGACAGUGACAGGACCAGCUUGGGCUUGAGCGCGUCGUGCGGCAUGAACUGGAGGGAGCUUUGAGGCCCGCCCGCAUCUGUGCCUGCGCCCUGAAGUUCUUCCUCCCGUGUGUACAUGCUCCGGGCCGCAGGGCUGGCUGAUCCUGCGCGGUCGCGACUCAGACCCCCUCAUGUGAGCGCAGUGCGGGCUGUAGGGGCUCGGACCUAGGGGAGCGGGACCGGGACUUUGGGCAAGGCUCUGGGCAAAAUAGUGAGCAUCUUAGGGUAUCGUGGCAGCUGUAGAGGAGCGGCAGCCGCUGUCCCCGCGAGCAGUCCCGCUGUCUAUCCGUCUGCUGCACACGGUGCCUUUCCCCCUAACCUAACCACACCUCCACCUCCACCUCCGCCCGCCUUCGCCGCCCCCCGCUUGCAGGUACGGCGUCAUGUUCGCGCUGGUUGCCGGCAUGAUGGUGUACAUUGCCGCGGUGGAGCUGCUGCCCACGGCCCUGCGCUACGACCCCGCCAACCGCUUCACCACCCGCGGCCUGGUGGUGGGCAUGGCGGUCAUGGCCGCCAGCCUGCUGCUGUUCAGCGCCACAUGAUAAGGACAGGAGGCAGAGGGCAGGAGGCAGGCGUUGGGGCGCGGAGCGAGGGUCCGGGGGGACGCUGAGGGUGAAGCAGGAGCACAACUGGGCUGGGGCGCGUGCGGUGUCAGGGUGCGCAGGACUGGAUGCGGAAGGGGUGCGGUGCAGGAGAGGGCAUGCUUGUGGGUCAAGUUCUUGAUGUCUGUCUUGCAGCAGUGAGCUGUUGGCCGUGGCGUGACUAGCUACGGGUCGCUUCACGGCGGCGCGUGCUCACCCAAACACAUGUUGCGCCUCAGCGCUAUAAGUAGCACACGCGUUCUGCAGCCAUGACUGCUGUGAUUGGGAGUGUGUGCUGCAGCGUGUGUGUGCAGAGUAUGGAGGAAAGGUUGAUCCUGUCUGUCGCGCCCGUACGUGUGUAAACGGACAUUCUACGUGGCCCUAAUACCGUGGGGGCAUGUCGCACCCGGGGGGCAACUGUAACUAACAACUGCUGCGUGUGAGAGGCACAUGCGAGGCACAGCCUCAGCCUGGGGCCGCAGGUGGCCGUCAUGGCCGUCAACCGUAAGUGCGUGCAUCGGUGCAUGUAGCUGAGGUGGCGUGCUCUGGUGGCAGGAAGCGGGGCCAGCCCGUGGCACGCGGAACAAACUAUUACAGUCCCAAGCCGGCUUCAUCAAUAGCAUGGAUGGCUUUAUUGGGUCCUUUAUUUAUCGCGCAUGGCAACCGCUCAAGCCGUGCCGGCCCAUGUGUUGCCAUGUCAGUCAGCGCACUCCGCCCUGCCGCCUCUGCCGUCUCGACCAAACUAGGGACAACUUGGCAACUCCUCUGCCGCGCAUCGGACCUCCUACCGCACCGCCUCAAUCAACGCAACGCAGCCACCAGCCCGGGACCCAUUCAUCCCCAGCCCAAGUAUACAAUUGUGUGUAUUGGUACACGAGCCUGGUAUCACCCAACACGCAACGCAGUCCUGCCGUGUCCGUGUGUAAUACCGCACGCGCGUAUACCAGGAAAGAAGGUCUGGGACAAACGCCCACCGCCAAGUCUUUCGCCAUGCGGUGGGCGCUCCUUGUCCAGCACCCAGCGGCGGCCACAACUCCUGUGCCCAACACCCCCUUGCUCACCAAUGACCCGAUGACCGAUGCCCAUGCGGCGCUAUUGGCACGCACGUGAGGCACGACAUCCACCUAAACGAAAUAAUAUGCUAUGCGACUCUCAAUGACCCGCCUUCUUCCGGCAGUGUUGGACCAGCUGGAUAUGGCUGGCCUGCAACAGGGAUUCCGUGCACCCACCACACCUCAACAAGGAGAGGUUCACACACACACAUCACACCGCAAACCACACACUACCUAUCACGUUCACCACGUGUAUGCAGGCGAACCUCUGCAGCACUGCAACAACUUGAUAAUUGCCUGCAGCCAUCUUGGUGCGCCUCUACACAACGAUACUAUCACCAUGCCCCAAUUCUUCCCCUGUGCAUCUCUGACCAAGCCAUGUCGAGCCCUUAACCGGCAUGCUCCAGAGGCUCCAUAGACUAGGUCCCGCAAAACCCGCACCAAACGGCUUCAUCCACCGACGUUUGCUUCUCAUCAAAACUGCCGUCCCUCCUCCAGGUGCAUUGCCGAUUUACACCUGCCGCUCGCGUAAUCCUUUCGGCACGAAACAAACAGAAGUUGAAAUACCAAAACCGCUCUUGUUCUCUUCUCUCCUUUUUCGGCUGGCAUGUUGCCGCGCAGCGUGCUGUGUUGCUGUGGUGUGCUGUGUUCAUGCGCAUUAGGUAGUCGUGCUACUACAACCAACCCGAAGAAAGGGAACGCCAGCCGCGGCCAAAAAUCGCAGGCACCAUGAUGCGACCGGCUCACCCGCUGCCGGAUGGGGGCGCGUUUAGAGGUGCUUGCCGAUCAGGUCGGUCAGCGCCUUGAUCUGAAGCAGGGGACGGGGGGUAGGGGAGGGCAGCGAGGGGGAGGGGAUGAGGCAACACGGGGAUCUGAGCUGAGGGCAGGACACAGUAGGGUAGUUGGUGUGCAGAAGGAUUGCUGGCACUGCAUUUAUGGGGAUUGGACAGCGCGCAGUCCCCGCUUUAGAGGCCAGACCCGCCCCUGCCCUGCGGCAUCACAAGAUCGAGCCUACAACAGGGCGACUGGCGGCCACACCUUGGCGCCUGUCAUGCUGUCAAUCUGCUUGCUGUUGCGGUAGAGGUGGAAGGUGGGCAGCGCCUUGAUGUUUAGGGCCAUGGCCAGCUUCUUGGACUCGUUGGUGGCACCUGAGAGCAGUAGCCGGGCACGGGGAGAAGCGCGAGCUGCUUUGUAGCAGCAGGAUGGCAUGUGUGUGUGUAGCCGCCCAAGCAACGGCAGGCACCCACGUCUAGGGCUAGAUGUUCCUCAAGCUUAGCACGCUCCCGCCGUGGACUCACCGCAGUCCAUCUUGGCAAACACAACCUGGCUUGCGUCCAUCUCAUUAGCCAGGCGCUCGAUCUCCGGCGCAAUGACCUUACAGGGGCCGCACCUGAAUGCAGGAGACAGGUUGAGCAGCAGAGCGGGCUGCGUCGACUCCUAUUCUUGCAGCCGAUGCUACUUUCUCGCGCGCGCCGAUGUAACGCCCCCGCACUAUACAACAUGGCAAACCCUUUUGUUGCAAUCGUCACGAGUGGUGCUCACCAGACGGCAUAGAAGUCCGUAACCACAAGCUUCUCAGCAUUCUUCUCCAGGAAGCCGUGGUACGUGUCGGCGGUGAGGAUGUGCACCCCGUUUGCGAUCGCGACCUCGCCGACUGCCUGCUCAGUCGCUGUCACCGCCGACGCGGUUGCGGCGCUGGACAGCGGCGCAGCGAGGCGCUUACGAGGCACGGCCACAGCCACGGGCCGCAGCGCAGCGCGGGCAGCGCGCCCUGCAAAACAGAAAGCCGAACGAACGACACAUGCGUGAGUCCGCGACCAAGGUCCGCCCUUUUGCAAAAACGACCCAGUAACCAUUAGAGGUUACAACCAAGUACCCAUGGAAGUCCUCGUUUCAGCGCGCGCCGCAAAGCUCGGCCUCCCAGGCGCCAUUCGCUCUUGGCGCGUGUUUGGGCGCACUCCCUUGCGCACUUCACGCAUCCAGACGCAUUGUGCUCACCUGAGCGGAGAGCGCCAGCAGAAGGGGAUGCGCGGACGCAAGGAGUUGCCAUGGCGCUCAAUAUGGGCAAGAAGGAAGAAACGAAGGCGAGCGGUGGGCUGCCUGCCUCGACGUAAGUGCAAGCGGGUGAGGUUGUAAGCACGGUGCUGAUUGCAGCAAUUCUGGCGGCCUUGACAUCAAAAAGGUCGGAUGCUGACAUCGGACAAGUCACCGAAACAGAUCCAAACGACCCCAAUCCGGGCUGUCGCAAGUCCAGUCCAAAGAAGCAGAAGCUGUGUCGCUCUCAUUCACGCUAUCGACAAUCUCUGUGGGACAAGUUAGCGACCCUUCGUCGACCCUUAUGUGACCGACUGUGCCGCCCGCAACUUGCAGGACAUGCAAAACUUGCAGGACAUGCAAAAUAUUGCCUUGACGGGCGAACGAAAAGGGUUCGGGGAUGUAAGGUCAGCGUGAAGGUCACUGUACCGCAUACCCACGCCGGCGCCUGCAGACUGCCAACCUUUGUAUUCCUAUCUAGAGCUCAAAGCACAAAGCAUAAUGGUGAACUGCUGACGCUACCUCAGCGGCGGUGGUGUGCAGACAUGUGCUUACAGGUUGACCAUGGUCCAUACAGUAGUGGAGCACUCUUGCAUUGCAUUCACGCUAGCUUACAUUUCUCAGUAUCUUCGAUAACAGCAUGGCGGGGACACUUUCCCCUGGUCUUGCACGCUUUUCUUCGGCCCAACGGCGCGCGGGCGUGGCGGCAGCGGGACGGACAGCAGCCCGUCGCGCGGGCGCGGGGGCAGCCGAGCGCGCGGGCGUGGCGGCAGGCGGGCGCACAGCAGCCCGUCGCACGGGCGCGCGGGCAGCCGAGCGCGCGGGCGUGGCGGCAGGCGGGCACACAGCAGCCCAUCGCGCGGGCGCGCGGGCAGCCAAGCGCGCGGGCGUGGCGGCAGGCGGGCACACAGCAGCGGAGGGAGCAGCAACGAAGACGGUGACCAGCGUGGGCCCCGUGGCGGGCCGGGCCGGGCACCCGGGGACAACCCAGUGCCGGGCGUGGUCGCGGCCGGCGAUCCGCUGGCUGUCUUUGAGCUGGCAACCCUAGCACCAUGCGCAUCGUGGGCGUUGAUCCCGGCGUAGGCAACUACCUGGUGGCCUGUGUCGGGUCAAUGCCAGGCUUCUCACCGCACAGCUACAGUGGCCGGCCACGAGCCGCGCACAUCUGGCGUGGCCCAGAUGGCCAGGCUCCUGGGCCUGCCCAGCCCCCACUGCAGCGACGGCGGAAGCGGCAGCAGCGGCGGCAGCAGCGACAGCAGCGACGGCGUCGGGGGGCGGGAGGUGGAAGGGCAAGAGGCGAGAGUGGCGGGGCACGCGCCAGCACACGCAUCAGCGUGCCGCAACAGAACGGCGCCGCCAGCAGCGCGCCUGCUUUACCCGGCUGUCUGGCGCUGGCUACCGCCACUGCACAGUCCAGACAGGCCGUCGGCUGUGGCUGCAGGCAUGGCUAGCGGAGCAGCCGGCAUUCAAGCGCUGUCAGGCGGGGAUACCCAGCGCGCGGGUGGCGUCGGCAGCUGAGCAUGAGCUGCGAAUACGCCAUCUCUACUCUGGAGGUGGCGUGGACGCGGCGGCGGCUGCCGGGUCUGCGCCUGCGCCAGUGCAACAGUACCGUGAUCUGCUUUCGACAUUUUCUUCGGUUCGCUCGGAUGGAGUCUCGACAGGACGACAACCCAACUUUGACUCUGCCUAACUUUAGCCAUGCAACUGGUACUACCUCAGUUAUCUACUACCGGGGUGCUAGAAGUUCGGUGCUAUUCCGCUCACUUGCUGUGUAGCAGUCGUACCUAACGGUUUGCUGCAGCUUUUGCUAUCCCGCCUGUGUCCUGUCAGUUCGUCCCAGAUCCAUUCCCCAUCCGGAACGUGGGGUGAGAUUCGGAUGCACGUCUUCUCUCAAAAUUUACAAACGUUGACAAGUCCCAGCGCAGCUAGCCGCUCCUGCGCCUGUCGGGACCUUGCCUGCUGCACGGCCAGACCGCACACAAAACCCACCGCUCCCAAACAACUCAAGCUCCACCAGACCACACAAGACGACCCAAAUAAACCGCUCAGACCUGCAUCCCUAUUGGUACAUCAAAACUGUGCCGCCAGGGCAUUUACUGGGGGGUGAACUUGGUGGCGUAGGCGAAGGCGUUGUUGGUGCCGGGGUUGGCCAGGUGGUCGGACCUGUGGAGCGGGCACGAGGAGCAUAACAUCACCGGGUAAACUAAGAUGGGAGUGCAAGUAUCAACUCGAAUUAAUGUUUAAUCCGCGUAGGUUAGCGCGGCUGGGCAUUUAUGGCAAGCAGCGUGCUGCACACACCGCGACUCAUGUUAUGUCACCCUAGGCCCCCAUCCCUACUCACAGGUUCUGCAGGGGGCCCUUGCCGGUCACGAUGGCCUGAACGAAGAAGCCGAACAUGGAGAACAUGGCCAGGCGGCCGUUCUUGAUCUCCUUCACCUUCAGCUCAGCGAAGGUGUCGGGGUCGUCAGCCAGGCCCAGGGGGUCGAACGAGCCACCGGGGUACAGCUUGUCCUGCAACGCGGAGGGAGCAAGGGUGGGCAAUGAUGCCAUGCACAACGUCCACGAACCGUGCAUUGCUACUGACGCAACCAGACAACACAAACCGAAACUGUCCCAUGUGUUUUGAGGGAAGCUUCCCUUCACAGCGAACCGCACUCACCAGGCCCUCGCCCAGGGGGCCGCCGUUGACGCGGUAGCCCUCAAUGGCGCCCAUCAGCAGCACCUGGGUGCCCAGGAUGGCCAGGAUGGACUGGGCGUGCACCAGGUUGGGGUUGCCCAGGUAGUCCAGACCGCCCUCCUGGAAGAUCUGAGCACCAGCCUUGAACCACACGGCCUCGCCGAAGGGCACGCCGUAGGAGCCCAGCAGCUCGGGGAAGAUGCAGCCCAGAGCGCCGAGCAUGGCCCAGCGGGCGUGGAUCA
rnacentral:lncRNA from 1 species